GCGAUCGGUGCGGACGAGGCAGACCUUGCCGUCCCUGGCGGCGAGGCUGAAGCUCUCCUCCCCGGCCUUGCAGAAGACCCUGUACGUCGGCUGCCUGGUCGCCGGGGGCGCCAUCCCGCCGCCGCCGCCGUGGUGCGGGCGCGUCUCGUUGCCGUAGCCCCCGUACUGCGGCCUCUCGUCGCCGGACUCGUGGGAGACGUGCACCACGUUGCCGUGGGCGGGCGCGCCGUAGCCUUCGUCGCGGCCGCCUCCGUACGCCGGAGCGGGGGCGUGGCGCCCGUAGUCACCCCCGCCGUACCCGGCCGGCGCGGGCGCGUGGCGCCCGUAGUCGUCCUCGCGCCCCCCACCGUAGGCCGGGGCGCGGCCGCCGUAGUCGUCCUCGCGCCCCCCACCGUAGGCCGGGGCGCGGCCGCCGUAGUCGUCCUCGCGCCCCCCACCGUAGGCCGGGGCGCGGCCGCCGUAGUCGUCCUCGCGGCCGCCACCGUAGGCGGGGGGCGGGGCGCCGUAGGCGACGUCGUCGGGGCGGCGGCCGUAGGACGGGGGAGGGGCGCCGUAGGGGUCGGGCUCUUGGCGGCCGUAGGGGGCGGGGGGGCGGCGGUCGUCGUCGUCGUCGUCGCGGCGGCCGUGGCCGUGGCCGUGGCGGUGAGGGAACUCCAUGAUUGAUUGGCCUGUCGGUGGUGGUGGUCGGGACUCGGGAAAUGGGAACGCGGGGGGGUGGUGGAGGUGGAUCCGAUCCGAGCCUAAAUAUGUCGCGUCGCCGGAGUACAUGUCGACGGGCGGGUGAGGUGAGCGCGCGACGUGGCGCCAAUGGGACGCGCUCGCACGACCGACCGACCGACCGGCCGGGCCGAUUCAAUUUCGCAACUGGGCGAUGGCGAUCGGUGGAUCGCCACGUGCACAGCUUUGCACUACACACGUCGCGGAUGGUGGAAAAAUCGUGGUCGUAUCUCAUCCGUUGUUUCUUUUCCUUCGGAUGCCGCGGGAGAUCGGAUCGUAUCAAGCCAAACCAGUCAAGUACCAGCUCAACAAAAAUCAACCGAGCACUCAAUUAUUGCUUGAAUUUCAAGAAGAAAAAAAGGGAAAAGGAGAAUUCGAUGUGGUGUGUACGCUGUGGCCCAAUGGUGCAGCUGCGAGUUCUGAUUUCUUGUUUGAUUGGGGUUGCAUGCGCGGAGGCAGCGGGCGCCAGACGGCGAAUCCUAUUUGACGCUGCAAGCGUCGGUUAAAGUGUAUUUUUCUUAACUGACGCCUGCAGUUUUCGGUCAUGGCCGACCCUUCGGGAGGCGGUUUUUCCGUCUUUGUGAAGGUUCCGCAAGCUUUCUAGAUGGAUUUUCUUAUUUAUGUUUUUUAGGACUGGUUCUUCUUUGGUUUAUCUUUUUUUCUUUAUUAUUUUUAUUACUUUUUCAUUUUCGUUUUAAUAUUUAUAUAAUUUUUACUUUUUGAAAAACGCAGCCAUUUCUUGAUUAACUUUUUCUCAAACGAACAAAUAUUUUUUCAGAUCAAUGAACCUUUUUCAGAAUUAUAUGUUCUUUUAUUAAAAUUCUAUGAACAUUUGUGAAUAUCGAUGAACUUUUUUCAAAUUAUGAUGAACGUUUUUCUGAUUGAUGAACUUUUUGAAAUGGAUGAACCUUUUUAAGAAUUGUGAAAAAAAAUUCAGUUCAACAAUUUUUUUAAAAAAAAAUCAAAUUCAUGAACUAAUUUUCAAAAUCCGUUAACUUUUUAAAAAUGUGAGAAGUUUUUUUUCAGAUCACAAUGAAUUUUUUCAAAUUCGUUAACUUUUUGUUUCAAAAUUGGUGAACCAUUUUUCGCUUUUAUGAACCUUUUAUGUUCUUUUUUUUUUGGUUUUUAUUAUAAAAAACCCACCUUGAGCCUGGGCCGGCCCGUUAUGCACGGUGUGUGGGCGCUAGUUCUCCUAGCUGGCGCUUAAGGCGCCGCCUCGCCGCUAUGAGCUCCCGGGCCAUACCCCCCCCCCCCACCCAAGGAACUAGUAGUAAUAUAUUGGCUUAAUUAUACGAUGGACUUAAUCCACUUGUUGACUCGUACCUGCUAAUCGAUCCACACGAUCAACGAUACGCACACACUAAUCCAAUUUGAUGUUAUCGACUCUUUCCUCGGCGACGCACCAGUCGCUAGGGUUUCAUUGACGCCGCCGUGCUGGUCGCCGGUUGUCGCGUCGGGCCGCCACCGCCGACCCGCUGUGCUCCGCCCGUCAUCGACCGUGCUGCCGCCGACCAUGCAUCAAUCGAGUACAGAGAGUCCACACAGGCUAAGAAGUUGAACGGCGCUGCCGCAAGCCCACACACAAUCCCUAACCGAUGCUGUGCAGCUGUGUUGUGAUCAGAAGACGAGGUCUUGAUGUAAUGUAAGGUGUACAAUUGUCUAGUGUCUACAGACCAGGUUUCAUAUUAUUGUGGUUGUCACUUGUUGGUUUGAUUCAUUCAAUAGAUCAAUUAAUCAAUUGUUAGUACUUAGUAGUUAGUAAUAAUUUAUUUUGAUACUUGUGAGAUCAAUUACAUAUUUUCUUUUUACUUAAUGGAAGAACUGAAAACUGCAUAGGUCAUGAAUAAGAGGAAGACAUCACCGAUAAGUAAUGGUUUCAACCAAUUGCUACAAACUCUAACUCUGCGAUUGAAAAUGCAAAUGCAAGUGUCAAGGUAGAUGUCACACAGCAACCCACUGGUCAUAAUGUCCCCAAUCUCAGUUCAGUUGAUAUGCCACCCCCCGAGCAAAAUAUUCAGGUAUCUGUGGAAGUUCUAGAACAGCAAAGAAUUGGAAGCACACCAUUUGAGCGAGACCCUGGAAAGCGCAAAUAAAUUUGGGAACUCCCUCUUGAGAAGCAAAAUGAAGCACCUUGAUCGUAAAUCUCUCGAAAACUCGUCACUAUAGCUUAUCUGUGGUGGCACCAAUACUGUUAGAGAUUGGAGAGCUAGUUUCCUCUUUUUCUUCCUUUUACAUUUAACAUGUAAAUCCGUCAUCCAACGUACCGGGCCAUCUUUGUGCAAAGUUUGCUUGCACACUGACGGUCAUCGAAAGUUGGAUGGAUUUGAGACCCUCUUUCCUGCUCAUCAGCUUAUUGAUUGAUGAUGCCAGGAGGCAGGAGCUCUUUUGUUGAAUAAAGCUCUCUGACUGGAACACAAAAAAAGACACAACCAUUCAAAAAUGAUUGUGACAUUUACAAAAGUAUUCACGCUCUUCAAACAUAUGUUCACAACAUUUUCAGGAAAUGUCUAUACAACAGUAAAGAAAGUUAUGUAACUUCAAAUAAAUUGUACUACCAUUAAAAAAACUUUGUGUCAUCAUAAAAAAGGUUCACACGUUUCAAAAACAUGUUCGUAUUGUUUUUCUACAUAUGUUCGUACCAUUCAAAAAAUGUUUGUGACAUUGAGAAAAAUGUGCAUGUGUUUCGGAAAAAAUGUUGUUGAUUUUUUUAUACAAAUGUAAAAAAAAGUUUGCUUAGUUUAGAAGAAAAAAUAUUAUACCAUAAAAAAUAUGAUCAAAUAUGUAUUCCAAAAAAGUUGGACACGUAUUCAAAAAAAAUGUUCAAAGCAUUUAAAAAAAAACUAAUGUGUAUCAAAAAUAGUUGCUGAUGUACACAAAAAUGUACAACAUAUAUGAAAAAAUAGACAUGUAUUGAGAAAAUGGGGAAAUAUUAAACGUAUACGAAAUAGACAUCUAUUGUGGCAGUUCAAGACAAUAAUCGUAGUCGUCAAAAGGUUCUUCCUUUGCGACAGCAAGAACAACUUGGUGGGUAAUUUGUCAAUUCUUAAAGCCAUUCAUUCACCAUCACUUGAUUAAUUUGUAACUCAGCUAAUUAGCCACUAGCUACGACUAACAUCACUUGCAUAGCUUGUGGGGCAUCACUUUGCUUUCAGCACAAGAAAGUACUUAUAGUUAAUAAGUUAUUUGAGCUAAGUAGCAAUCCAAUGUGCGACGUGGAGUUUCUCAGCCCGCGCUCAACUGAGCUCGAAUGAACAGUAAAAGUAAAGUGAGAAAAACUGCGGCAAACCUAUUUAGCGUGACAGGCAUUGCUUAAAGGAAAAAGUUGCUAACCGGCGCCUGCAGGGCUCCGUAAUGGGCGGGCCCAUGUUGAGAUCCUUCAUGAACUUUUUUUAGCCUGUGAAAUGUUUUAGCCCGUGAUCUUUUUUUGAAAUCGGUAAACUUUUUUGAAAAUCAAUGAUAUUUUUUGGAAAUUCAUGAACAUUUCUGAAAAUCAAUGAACAUAAUUUAAAAUUCAUGAUUUUUUUCAAAAUCAGUGAAAUAUUUUUAAAAAUUGAUGAACUUUUUCAAAAUCAGUGAACUGUUCUUAAAAAUUGAUGAACUUUUUUCAAAAUCAAUGAUUGUUUUUUCGAAUCUUUAAACUUUUUGAAAAUCCAUGAAAAUAUUUUUCAAAAAUAGGUGAACAUUUUCAUAAUAAUUGAACUUUUUUGAAAAUCUGAACUUUUUAAAAUUCUGUGAACUUUUCUCAAAUUUUUAGUGACCAAGACAUUUUUUACAUGGGAGGAGUGCUUCAGGCGCCGGUUUCCCUAACUGGCGCUGAAGGCGCCAAAUACGAGGGGACUUCCUAUACCGUACCUUCAGCGUCCUCUAAGCCAAUUGGCGCUCGAUGUACCUUCCUAUACCGUCCUAUUUAAACUUUUUAAAAAUCCAUGAACAUAUUUUUCAAAAAUAGGUGAACUUUUUUCAUAAUAAUUGAACUUUUUUGAAAAUCUGAACUUUCUAAAAUUCUGUGAACUUUUCUCAAAUUUUUAAUGACCAAGACAUUUUUUACAUGGGAGGAGUGCUGCAGGCGCCGGUUUCCCUAACUGGCGCUGAAGGCGCCAAAUAGGAGGGGACUUCCUAUACCGUACCUUCAGCGUCCUCUAAGCCAAUUGGCGCUCGAUGUACCUUCCUAUACCGUCCUCUUUAAACUUUUUGAAAAUCCAUGAAUAUAUUUUUCAAAAAUAGGUGAACUUUUUUCAUAAUAAUUGAACUUUUUUGAAAAUCUGAACUUUCUUAAAUUCUGUGAACUUUUCUCAAAUUUUUAAUGACCAAGACAUUUUUUACAUUGGCUGGCCCAUGAGGAGGAGUGUUGCACGCGCCGGUUUCCCUAACUGGCGCUGAAGGCGCCAAAUAGGAGGGGACUUCCUAUACCAUACCUUCAGCGUCCUCUAAGCCAAUUGGCGCUCGCUGUAUCGAAUUCAUGGGCCGACCAACGACGCGCAACACAAGCGCAAAAGUCCUAAAAAAUGAUGGGGAUUGAUCUGCGACGGCGCGCUGGCCCAAACUUUUGGCCGGCCGCGCGCGAGCGGCAGGAUCCACCAACCCCGCGUCGUCCGCACCAUUGGAUCCGCAUGCAACAUUUUUUUUUCCUAUGCAGCAAAAUUUCGAUUCGAUGCGAUGCAGCAAUUUUUUUAACGGUUGCAACAAAAAACAAAAAUUGUGCCAAAAAAAUAUUUACGUGAUCGUAGCAAAAAAAUAAAGCUGAUGGUACGUGGUAGCAAAAGUCAAACGCCGAUUGUAACAAAUAUUUAUGUGACGUGUAUGCAACUUUUUUAGUGAACAGUUGCAGCAAACAUGAUGCCGGUUGUAGCAAAAAUUAACACGGUUGUAGCAAAAAGUAAAAAACAUCGAUUGUAACGAAAAAUCCAACGAACUGGUGUUGCAACCAAACGUAUAUGCAGCUUUUUUACUGAAACAAAAAAUAGUAAAAAAACGCUUGCAGCAAAAAUGACGCUGGUUGCAACAUAUUUAGACGAAAAAUGUUGCAUCCAUUGACCAGAAAAGCGCGCGGGUGGAAAAAAUGUUGCAAGGACCCGCGCGCGCGAGGGGAUGACCGGCGCGCGGGUGGGAAACGAUUCCCAAGAAUGAUUGGGGCUUUGACUCGAACUCAGGUCCUCUCAUUCCUACAUCUUCUCUGCUAACCACUAGUCCUAGAAGCUAAUAGUAAUCAACUGAACCUCAAAAAUAUUUAAGAAUACUCUAGCCACGUAGUUCCAAAAUCUGAAAGUUCACAUAUUUUUAAAAAGUUCACGAUUGUUUUCUUAAAAAAGCCUCACGUAUUCGAAAAACAAAAUCACGAAAUUGAAAAUUCAUUAAUUUGAGAAUAAAAUUUCACAAAUUUUCAAAAAAAUCUCUAAUUUAAGAAAAGUUUGUAAGUUUGAAAAACGUUAACAGAUUUGAAAAUGUUCACAAGAUCCACAUAAGUUCACCAAAUUGUUAAAAAAAUUCAAGAAUCUUUAAAAAGUUCCAUCAAAUUCGAAAAAAGUUCAUCAAUUUUGAAAAAAGUUCAACGGAUUUCAAAACAAGUUCAUUGAUAUUUUUUUUUUAAGUUCAUCGAAUCUGCAACAGUUUUAUCAAUUUAAAAAAAGUUCAGUGUAUUUUCAAAAAAGUUUAUCAUUUUUUAUAAAUAUUUUGAACAAAAACUUGGAAAAGGUUCAUUGGAUUCGAAAAAGGUUCACCGAAUUUUGAAAAUUUCAUCAAGUUUAAAAAUAGUUCACCAUUUCGUAAAAAGUUCACAAAUUCAAAGGAAAAAAAUCAUCAAUGUUGGAAAAAGUUCAUUGGUUUUUCUAAAAAAAGUUCAUUGUAUUUGAAAAAGUUUGUCAAAUUUGAAAGAAGUUCACUGAACUAGGAAAGAGUUCAUCAAAUUUUAAAAAUUGUGGAUGGAUUAAAAAAUAAACGACUAAGAAAGAAGGAAAAUUAAAAAGAAAAUAAAAACAAAAACAGAAAACAGAUAAAAGGAAAAAUGAAAAAAGAAGAAACAAUGAUAAGGUAAAAAUGACGUAUGUUGACACAUCAAGGAAUGUGGUUACCACUCUUCGCACCGAGCUAGGAGAUCCUGGGUUCGAAUCCUACUCCUUUCCAAUAUUUGAAUGAACAGACAGACGUAAAUGGGCUAACCGGCGCCUGCAGCAUUAAAUAGGAAAUGCCGAAAUGACGAAUAGGAGGUCCCAAAAAACUGUGUGUGCCUGUGCUAGAUUGGGUCAGGCGCAUGUCUGCCUCGCGCACUAGGCUUGGCCCAUCAUCGGUGUGCUUGAGACGAGGAAGUCUUAAGCGAGACAUAGAGGCUCUCACGAAGUAUAGCAUUGUGGACUGGAGUAGAAUAUAGUUCUUUUAAGCUAAGCCUAACCCCCUUUAUGGCCCAAUACAUAUAUAAACACUACACACUCUGUGCCGGCCUACAUGCACUGACCCGAACUUGUACUCGAUCUGGUCAUGGCCCACAAAAUUGGAUCAUUCUACGUUCGAUUCUCCUUUUCUGCUGAAAAAAAUGCAAGACAAUAGAGCAUUUUUUAGGAAGCAAUACCACUAUAUAUGUUGUCAUUGCAACAAUCUAUUAUAUUAAGAGCAUCUACACCCGGACCCCUCAUACAUGUCUCAAACGCCUCGACAGGCCGUCCGACCAGUGAUCGGUCACAAAAACGCGACCCAACCGAACCUCUUAAAUCCGUCUCAAACGCCCGAGCUGACCGGCACUGCUCAUAUCCGGCCCAAAUAUAGGGCUGAUAUGGGGCGGUCCGGUCACACCGGGUGUGUCUGCCCGGUAAGCCCGGUCCAACACUGACCCCACCGUUGUCCCACAAAAUCCCCACUUUGGCCGCCUCGUUCCGAACUCUAGCUCACUCUCUCUCGCUCUGUCCCCUCCUCCCCCUCUUCGAGUAUGAUCCCAUCGUGUCCAAUGUCGAUCUCCGACAGCCGCUCCGGCUCCGACGGUCGCUCCGGCUCCAACGGCUCGGACAUCGACCCCGAGGAGUUGGCCCUCCGCAUCGCCUUGGAGCGCGGUCCAAGGUGGAGACGGCCGGAAGCUCCGGAUCUAGCGCUUAGCCACUGGUCCCGCGUCGACGGAUCUAUGACAUCGAAGCGGGACCCUCCCGGCACGCGAGCAGCUCCGUCGGGACUGCGUCCGCACCUGCCCUGCGUGCUGCCCUUUCCCCGCCGGCCGCUCCUCCACGCGGGCAUCAUUGGGUCCUAGUACCCGCACCAUUGGCCUGCACGGGCACUCCGGAAUCGGAGGCGCGCACCGCCCACCGUGAGAGGCAGCGGGCAAGGGAGAGGGAAACAAAGCAGUCUGUGCGCCACCGUCGCGAGAUGCCGGCUGAGCCCGACAAGGACGAACGCCUCCUCGCAUGGGUGUACCUCGGGUCCCUCACGACGGCAGAGACGAGUGUUCGACACCUUCGUCAGAAGAACGCCAAGGCGUUUCAGCUUGCUAUUGAGCAGUCGGAGCGCGAAGCGAAGGAGCUAGCGGAGGAGAAGGCUCGACUCGCCAAGAUGAAGCGGGAGCAGUACAGGGCCGUCCGUCGGAUGAAUGGCCUCAUCGUCUUCUUGGACUCGGACUCUGACGACGGCAACAACGACACCUCGCCCUUUGACCCUCCGCCAGCCACGAACGGCUACAACUGCGUCGACGACCCACAGGGCAAAGGGCCAGCAAGGAAGUGGUGAUCUGCCCCCCCCCCUCUACGCAUUAUUUAUAUACUCCCUCCGUCCCAAAAUUCUUGUCUUAUUGUCUAAAAAUGGAUGUAUCUAAGUACUAAAACAUAACUAGAUGCAUUCAUAUCUAUACAAAUGUAAGACAAGAAUUUUGGGACGGAGGGAGUAGUUUUUAGUUGUAGUAACGUAAGAAAUUUGUCCGAUGAACUUGAGAUGAUCUUGUGGCUGAUGUUUGAUGUCCGUUUGAAGUUGAUUUUGUGUUUGUGCGUUUUUGAUUUUGUUGUCCUAUGUUUUUUCACGUACAAUAGCUCAACGUUGCGUGGGUAGUACGGAUAUGGGUGUCGGAUAUAAGACAAGCGGAUGUGAAAAGGAAAAUAUGAAACGCGUCUGGCCAGUGUACGAGACGCGACCGUUUGAGGGGUUAGAUUUGCAAGUUACGACUAUAGAUGCUCUAAAUACUAUCUUUCCUGGUUAAAAAGACACUUAAGGCCCCUCCCCACUUCACCUAUGUCUUCGGUUUUGCCGAUUCUUCUCAUUGAUUUUUCUUAAAAGACACCUCAACUGUCUCAUGUAUUUUUAUAGCUUAGCAAAUAAAAUUAUGUUUUCGUUGGUAUGUCUAUAGGUGCUAGUUUAAUUGACAGUCGAUAUAUUAGCAGUUAUGGCGAAGCCACAAGUUCAAAGUUAUGAUCUCAAUUCAUAAUUGUGACCAAAUACGUGUGUUUAUAUGAUUUUUUUUCUUUCUUGAUUUCUACUUAUAUGUGUUGCUUUUGCACAAAUACUGUAUAGUCAACUGACUACACAGAACACAUGUGGAGUCGUCAUUGUGUAAUCACACUUACACACUAUCAAUAAAAUGACGGGUAAAUCAUGAUGAGUGCGUGCAAAAUAUUUAUGCCUCGUUGCAACACCAACCAUUAUCUAAUAGUAGUAGUUAAGAAACAAUAUCCCUGGUCCUCAAAAGGUUCUCCCUUUGCGGCAGCAAGCACAACUUGGUCAGUAACUUGUCAACUCUCAGAGCCAUUCAUGCAUCAUCACCUGAUUAAUUAUUAUUUUUAACGCAAUCACCUGAUUAAUUAAUAACUGGUGAGGGUAUAUCCGUACACAUGCAGCUCAGCUAAUUAGCCACUAGCUGCGGUUGACAUCACUUGCAUAGCUUGUGGGGCAUCACUUUGCUUUCAGCACAAGGAAGUGGUUAAUUAAUCACUUAUUUGAGCUAAGUACCAAUCCAACGUGUGCUUUUGCUUCGUCUUAGGAAGCAGGUUAUGGAGCUGUCUCGUUGAUACCUAGCUACUUGGCACUUGCAGUGGUCAAACACUUGGUAGAAAACAUUUUUUAAUUUUGAGCGUGUUCAUUCUGAUGGAUCGAGAUAGCUUGACCCCUUCAAGUUAUAUGUAAUAAUGCACAUCGAUUGUACAAGCAAAAGGCCGAUUUAAUAUACUCAUGGCAUUAUAUUACUCCGUUGCAUUACGUGAGAGAAUUCUCAAUGAUGAGUGCCAUGCAUGCACAAGGUGAAAAAACAACAAAAACAAUGAAGCGUGCAUGGUUGAUCAAGGUAUCAGUUUACCAUCCCAUUGUUUUUUUUAUCUACCGGUGGUCUACGAAUUCAUAUGUGCUAGUAUUCAGUUGGUAUAACCAUAAUCAGCGAAAAAUUCGAUGGGGCAUCAUGUAUCCGCAGCUUAGUUAUACGCAUACAUACGUAAAAUAUUCAACCCAUGCUACAAAAAAUACUUUUAUCCAUGUGGCAAUCUUGCAUUGCUCCAUAUAUAAUUUCUCAAAUAAAUUGCUAAGAUAUAUUUAAUUAUUAGAUACACGCAUGCCUAUAUGGUUGUUUAAUUACCUUUCACAACAUUUAGUUACUUUUUGUCAAUAACAUUUAACAAAUGUACAACUUGUACUAGUAAGUACGUACAACAAACAAAAUGUAGAUAUAUUGUUACCGCGACGCAUCGCUCAUAGGAGUGGACACGAAAUAGAUAGUGAUAUUGGGCAUUGCUAUUUUCUCCUUAUUGAAUUAAUAUCACAAUUGAUUCGUGUGUACAAAAUAUGAGCAUGACGCCGAGCAGUUGAGUGGCCCCAAUGUGAAUUUAUUUCUAACACCACCUACACCCCAAAUCUAAUGUUGUUAUUCAUGACCAAGUAAUCUUAUUAUUUAUGUGCCUCGUGAGUUUGCUCUUCAUAUUCGGGUUUGCAUUUGUGCAAAUGUGAGCUUCAUUAUCUUCAUGUAUGUAGAUCCGGGUUCCCUCUGCUAUGAUACCAAUUGUAGGAAACCUACUAUGUGAUGGCUUUGAUACCCAUAAUACUUGAGAACCUUCACACUCUCAAAUAAUGGGGAUAACUCGAUCUUUUAUUCACAACCACUAAUAGAAAAACUACUUUACGUGAGAUACAUUAGUCCCUGUUUGUAAACGGACGGGCACUAAUGUGACCAUUAGUGCCGGUUUAAACGGCUAGGGAGGCGCGCAUCAUUAGUCAUGAUUCGUGUUGAACCUCUAGUACCGGUUCGUGACACGAACCGGGACUAAUGGAGUGGUGACAGGCUGGUGUCUGCCUGCUUCAACUCAUGAUACUUGGUACAAACUUUAUUGGUGUCUACCUGCCAUUCUCAUUCAUAGCGGGUCCUACUACUACCUUGGUUCUCUUUCUACCUUGCUUAGUUUGGUUUAUCUUAGGAGGGGAGUCCAUCCCUAUCUAGAGUUGCACAUGACCAUUAGAUUGAUGGCAGGUGGCAACCAUCCAAAACCAAUGCAGUCAUUGCUCUCUGAAUAACCUAGAAAACACCCUACAAAUAUCUUAUAUCUAGUGUUCUCUUUAAUUUGCCACAUAAUUUAUUCAAACAUUUGUUCUAGAACCACCGAGAGAAAUAACAACUCAUGUGUAUUAAUAUCCAAAUGAUCUAGAAGUUUCUUAUCUUUGAGAUGAAUAACUUCUCUAGUAUCCUCCAUGGCAAAUAUCUUGACGUUCUCGAUUCUUAGAAAUAUCUUCAGUGACCCAAGUAUGCAUUGCAUAUUAUCAACAAUAGGAAAUCGAUAGAGUAUCUCAAGAAUGUAAACAACUAUCGGCUAUGGCAUGUCACCGUAUGAGGCCAAAUGGUGUGCAUAUGUCAACAUAGGGAGGAUAUCUAGUGGCCAAGCACUCCCGGUGCUGCCAAUGCACAAAAUCACCAUUCUAUUACUUUCUUUUUUCUUAAAAUGUUAAGUGAGUCAAUAAGAUAUGUUUGUACAAUGUGUGAAAUUUUGAAAUCAAUUCAACCUACAUAUGAUGGAGAAGCAAAAAUAAAUAAAUAAAUAAAUAGAAAUUCAGCCAUGAUGGUGUUUGUAUUUUGAUUUUUUAUAAUAUUCAUAGUUGGAUUUAUCUUUUUCGAGUAAGAUGUUUUUAUCCUCUAUCUACAUACUCCCCCUGUUCCAAAAUAAUUGUCUUAAUCUUGUACUAAUCUUAGUAUAAAAUUAUACUAAUUUUGAGAUACUUAUUUUGUGACGGAGGAAGUGGAAUUUUGUGGUGCCGACCUCUUAGGUGGGACACACACAUGCUUCCAUCGAUGUCCAUGCAUAGGAUGAUGGGAAUAUCAGCAUCUGUCAUUUUUUUUCUAACUGUUUUUACUUCUUCCUUUUUCCAACUAGCUUAGCCUAUCAAUUGCUUGUUCGUGUACAUACUUGUGUGUCUCUCUCGAUAAACUUGUCGUUCCUUGGGUGCGAUGACUUCGCAAGGAAUCCAACCUUUCUACCAGUAAAAAAAAAAAAGACAAGCCAUUGCUCUCCUCUUUAUUUUAAAGUACAUGCACUUCAAUUAUGCACGUCUCUUCCCCCUAACACGAGCAUGCAUUAUAAGUUGCUACUAUUCUAUAAGCUCCAAUUGAUUCAUCCAAAGUCCAAGAUUUGGUUACAAUAAAUAAGGAAAGUAAUUUUAAACUAAUACGAAUUUUAUUCAAUGAAUGUUCACAAUUUACAUCCUAGUUCACCCUACAUAUACAUACAUAUACACACAAGUUAAACAUGCAUCUACAAUCAGUUCUACCUAUCUUGUGACAUAAUUGUGUUCUUCUUCUACUCCGGCCUAUAAUAUCUUACACUAAUCAAUUAACUUUACACAAUAUACGGUACUAAUUUAGCCUGAUCUACAAAUUAUGCAUGAGUAAUAUCCCCCUCGAUCCAUUGAUCGACCGGCAUCAAUAGUGAAUAAUUGAUUAAUAUGUCUGCAGUCAAAUCGCUAGCUAGCUUUCUCCUAGCCCUAAUUAUCAAGGUAGCAUGCAUGGAUCAUAUCCUGUCCUGCUGGGAAGGCUGGUCUGGCCCAAAUAUGGAGAAGCCGCCGUUCAUCAUCGUCAUGGACCCAUCGCUACCCAACCACCUCUUGGAAGCGUGCAACGACGACAUUUCACCAUCGUUAUUGCUGUCCGCCGUCGCCUGCCUCUUCCGCGCCGUGCUGGCCUCGCCGUCGCUGGCCCCAGCAGUGGUGCCGAGGAAGAACUGGCCGACGGAGGUUGCAAUCUCCGGCUGUGGCGGCGGCAUGCUGUCGAAGAGCUCCGAGACGGCUGAGUAGUCCACGAGGUAGUCGGAGAUGGACGGGUUCCUCGGCAGCAUCCGGGAGGAGGAGGAGGUGUCCUCUUGCUGCUGAUGUUGCUGCUGCUGCUGCUGCUGCUGGUGGUGGUGGUGGCCGUGGCCGAGGCCGAGGGUGGCGUCCAUGGACGACGGCGACGGCGACGGCUCGUAGAAGGGCGACAGCUGCUGCGGGUUGGGCUUCUUGUAGAUCCUGCACAGCACCCAAUCAUCCAGCUGCACGCACACAAGAAGGUGAAUCAGUGCCACACACGUGUGUGCAUGUAUGUUGCAACAAACGGUCGCUUGCUAAGCUUGACAGGUAGUUGGUGCUGGUUAGCUAGUAGGUUGUGGCUUGUAAGGUAAUAGUGCAAGUCUCUUUCUUAGGGAAGGAAGAUCCCAGCGGUGAAAGAAACUAUAGCUAAUAGGACGGACAGUGGCUUCCUAGCUCAUUGACCAGGUUAGUUGCUUGCUCGAGCUCAACUCACUGACAUCCACGCACACGCAACUAAUAAGAAGAGAACAAAAGAUUCCUAGCUAGCUCCAACGAGAUGCCUUCCUCGUUAAUUUGCAGCCGCAGAAAACAUGCAUAUGCAUGUGUGAUCAAUCAAGAAGAAAUAAUAAAGCAUGAAAUUACCGAGUACAACAAGAUGAUGGAGAGAGCCAUCGCAAAAAAAGAAAAAAAGAAAGAUGAUGGAGAAAGAGUUGUGCAUGCAUGCGUACCCUCAUGGAGGACGAGGCCUUGAACCGCGUGGGGGGCCGGUAUGUGUGCGCGGCGGCGGCGGCGGCGGCGUGGGCGUCGGCGAGGCGGUACUCGUGCAUGAUCCAGUUCGUCUUGUGCCCCUUGGGCGGACGGCCCUGGUAGAACACGAGCGCCUUCUUGACGCCGACCAUCUCGCCGCCGGGCACGCCGCCGGCCGUGAUGGGCUUGUCGGUGCCGGUGGCCUUCCAGUAGCCCGACCCGGCGGCGCGGUUGGGGCGGACGCCGUUGGGGUACUUGCGGUCGCGGGGGCUGAAGAAGUACCACUCGUCGUUGUCGCCCUCGAACACCGCGCGGGACGGCAGCUCCCACGGGUCCAGCUUGUAGAUGUCCACCUCCGCGAUGACGGCCGCCGGGCACGGCGCCGCGGCCGCGCGCCUGCGGAGGUAGUGCACGAUCAGCUCCUCGUCCGUCGGGUAGAACCGGAACCCCGGCGGCAGCCCCGUGCCCGCCGGCGCCGGGAGCGACGUCGGCCUCGUCUGCAGCUCGAUCGUCAUCACACACACCCGAUCGAACGCUCGGUCAGGGGCUCAAGGCGGCGAGGGAAGGGAAGGGAAGGUGGGUCGAGAGUCGAGACGGAGGAGAACUGAAAUUUUCGGAGGUGGAGGCGACGGGUGCGGUUAUAAAGGCGCCGAGGUGCUCCGGCGCAUGGCAGGCUCUUGUAAUUCUUGGCCGCCGGUGACGAGAGGGAUGAUGAUUGCAAGGGCCCUGCCGUACGUGCGCGUCCAUCCAUAUCACGUCAUCGGCGCUCGCAGGCUCACGUACUUGGCCAGAAUCUUCAAUUUGUUGGAAUAUUUUCUCUCUUUUUUGUGCCAUGUGAGAACGAGAGAGUGGGGGAAAAUAUAUCCGAAAAAGACAUUAGCAGAAUGAAUGGAUGAAAAUUGUGCAAAUGAUUGGAGAAGUUGGAUAUUCGGCUCGGUUUGUAGGACCGGGAAGCGUUCAUGGCCCAGAGGAAUACCAUAGCACAUGAAUACCAGGUACGGUGUUUUUGUGUGUGUUUUCAUUGACCACGCAGGAAUAGCUACUCCUAUGCAUGCAUGCACUGAUGCACAUGCAUGGUGCCAUUUGCUGCUGGCUGAGACAUUUCAAAGAAAAUUAGUAUUAUUCAUUGCUGAAAUGCAAAGCUCGGAAAAUCAUUGGAGUUGUCAUAGACUACAAACUACAAGUUGAUUGAAUUCAGAUCAAGAUUUUUGUAGGCCCGGGAUUAUCCGAUCUUCAUUUAAUUCUGUUCAUUGCUAAAACGGAGGGACUUAGGAGUAUGCAUGCACAUGCAUUAGAGUCAUCUGCUGCUUAGCUGCUAGCCGAGACAUACAAAAUUAUAUUCCCUGCUGGUAUGCAAAACCAUUGGAGCUGUCUAGACUACUAAUUGAUUGAAGUUGCUUAAAUAUCUCCAUCAAACUCUAAGCAUUCAGAUCAAGAUUUAAUCAUUUUCAUAAAGCGCACGAAGGUUCUACUUGCACAGUUGAAGAGUGAAAUUUAAGAACUGGUAGUGCGCAAUUUGUAGUAACUGAAUCCAAAAGGAAAGGUACCUACGGGCGAGUUCCACUUCAUAAAAGGGGCGGUUUUGGACAAGAUUGACGACUAGUUUAUAUAGCUAUAUAUGUGUAACAAAUUAACAACCAAUAGAACUAUAAUAUUGAUGAAAAUACUCCUUGAUACUAAUCUAACCAUAUGAUUCAUGUUUCAUAUCCAAAUAUAAAAAAAUGAUAUCCAUAGUAAAUCAUUUCAUCGUUUGACAUACAACAUGUAUGUAUUCGUGGCAGUAAGAAUUAGCAAACUAAGAAUCAUUGAAAUUAAUGAAAUCAUUAAAUCACUACAAAUUGCUACCGCCCGAUUGCUAAUUAGAGUACAAACAACAUUAUAGAUCCAAAUAUCCCGCAAAAAAAAGCAUUAUAGAUCCAAAAUAAUGAAACCUCAACUUCAUCAGAGCAUCUCAAUUAACUAGUGUGUUAUGUUGUCAGAAAUUAUAUAUAUUCAUAUCAUCGACUGUAUACAACCACUCCAACAGAGUGUUUCUAAGUUAAUUUGCUCUCUAUUUUGACAUUGGAUCUUAUGCAUGUCUCUGUUACAUUAUUAUAAACCAUACGUUGCCGAUUUUAUGAGCAAUAACCUACCCCGCGGCGGGGAUGGAGGGUGUGUGGUGAUAGACAAACACGGCUAUUGAGUGGUAACAAAAACCCUACUCAUUAUACGACUAAUACAGUAGAUACAGUAGAAGAUCUAAGUUCCAGUAGAUGGUGAGAGAAUCAAAGCUUGCUCUAUUUCCACCUUGGAGCUUGUGCAUAGCAUUAUGGUUCAUCUAAAUACAAGCUUCAUAUAUAUCCUUAUAUUAUUUAGUUUAAUUAUGUGAUGUCACAUAAAUUUUACAUGACAAAUUUUACCCAUGAUCAUGUCACCAAACACCAAAUGCUUGCGAUGCCGCUAGCUAUGAGACGAAAUUAGCUUACACCAUUAAUAUAUCCUUUUUUAGGCCGGAUUUGACUUUUGUGCCUUGUGAUGGGAAUGAUUGGCUUGCGUGCUAAACUGGCUUAGCUAAGCUCUAGGUAGUCCGAAGUCGCUGGAGACUCUGGAGAAAGCUUUUUCGUCUACUCUUACUCCACAAGAAGAAUAUGCACGACCGGGCCAUCACCUGAUCGAUUAUAUGGAUAGUUUAAUCUAUGGAGAAUUCCAUCAAGCCGCGCGACUAUAUAUAUAAUCUUCAAUUAUAUCUGAUUUUGUACAAGGUACUGGUGAACUAUGCACUACUCGAUCGAUUUGCUUGCGUAGGUCAGAUUGAAAAAACAGUGCACAUCAACUCAAUUAUGUAUGUGCAUAGGAUCGAAUGAUUCGCUGGGGAUAUGCCGAUAAACCCUAGGAAGAAGUUAAAGCUAGCUAGCUAGCUACUCCCUCCGUUACGGUUUAGAAGGCACAGUUAAACUUGUGUGCGUUUUUAAAAUAGACAAGGUUUAAACGCGAAAGCAAUUACUCCUAUUAAUUAGUACUAGUACUACUCAUGCAUGCGUCCUCCUAAUUUGUUGCUCACGCAUUAGUACUAGUAUUUUUUCAGUUGAUUAGGCGCAUUAGCAUCUACACCUGCUACAUCUCACAACCAAUCGGUGACUACCUUGGUACCAGAGAUUUUUUCAAACGUGUCUUCUAAACCGUGACGGAGGGAGUAGCAGACAUGGUUUAAGAGUAUACAAAUAAAUCCAGUCUUUUUAUGCAUGCAAGCAUGCAUUAAAGGGCCAGCACUAGCUCUUGUUUUGCACUUUUUUUACGAAUAACUGGCCUCAGCGUAAUUAACAACAUGCAUACAGUCAACACAUCUGAUUUUUAUUAAAACAUCACUUUAAAGGAACCAUAAAUAAGAAGUAGCCUGGGAUAUAUGAGGUCCUAUUCGAGGGUGGGGAAAAACAUUUCUGUAUGCUUCAAUCGAGUGGACACCAUCAUAAAAAGAUACAUAUCUUCCGGCCUCGGACAGACCUAGCUAGUAAGAAGUCAUUGUAUAUUUGUAUACACACAUAAAUAACCUUGAGUAUGGAGGUAGCUACUAGCCAAGUUGAUGAGAUUAUUGUGCAUGUGGUUUCUCUCUUUAGAAAGUGCCUGUGCAUGCAGCUUAACUUCUCCCUCGAAUUAACCUCAUAAGACACUAGCAUAACGUACACAUAAUCAUACUUAUAAGUUAUAAUUAAGCAAACAUAUGCACGCAUGCAUGCCACCAGCAGUACAUACAGUACAAAAUCUAUCUAUCUGAUCCAUUUCGCACGUGCGUGCUUUCAGGGACAGUAACGUUGCACAAGGCGUGACGGCGCCUUCUCUUCCUCCGGCUUAUUAUUACAUGCAUACCAAGGCUGUCCACGUGUACAACACCCGGCCGGCCUGUCAGAGUCUCUCUUACGUGCCGACCAUGGAUGCAUAUAAGCUAUAGCAGGAGCAUCGAUCCUACAGCUAGAUCAUCUUGAGGAGGAGUAGCUUACAUCUGCGUGUACAGCUGGUGCAUGCAACUGGUGGGUCCAUCAUCAUAUGCUGAUGGUUCAGCUAGAUAUACUUUCAUGCAUGCACACGUGUGUGUAGGUGCUCGAGCGGGUCCCGUCUAAUUCUUGUUAUGAAAAGGAUGCAGAGGGAGGGAGGGAGACUAGUCGCCGAUCAUGACAUCCACUCGUGCUAUGCUGGCUACUUCUACCCAUCUCAUACACGGUUUGGCAUGCCAAACACUGCUAGGACUUUUUUCUAUAUAUAUCCUUGCGUACUUAAUCAUAUCUCGAAAAUCGAUGCAUAUAUGGCAUAUAUACAUGCAUGCGCAAAGGAAAGUCUUUUUAGUUUUCAAACGAUAAAUGUCACAAGUGUGACAUGAAAUAACACCGUCCUGACGUUUUAUAAACGAAAAUUGUUAUCAAACAGAAAGUUGGCGUGCUUCACAAUUAAAAUUGGCAUCCUCCGAUAACUAAACUUGUCAUCAAAAAAUGUUGAAAUUGCUUCUUGCCAUACAUGUGACGUUUAUCAUGGUCCUUUAGUUUCAAGAAAAGUCAAAAUUGAUUCUACGUACCAACCGGUCAGCUUGGUUAAUUAGCUACCAACAAAAUUUGCAAUAAAAAUGAUUAUAAGAGGUUUAGAGCUAAAAUUGUAUUUUGGACCUGUGUGUUUAGCGCCUAUUGAAGGCAUAAAUCGAUGGAAUUUGGAUUUAAAAUUUUCGACGCAUUUUCUCACAAUUUGUUGUCUUUUGGUGGCCGGUGCAUGAAUAGUAGCACUGUAAAGUUUGACGGUACAUCAAUAAUAGAUAGACAAUAUUUUGAGUUGGAUAGAUAGGUACUUUCUCAAAGAGCAGUACUAACUAUCUUAGUAGCAAAGUGGCAUCUCUCCUAGUAUUUUCGGAUAAGUGCAUCGAUAUCUCCUAGUAACACACGUACGUACUACUUAGUUAUUACCAGUGUAUUCAUGUAGGCACACGUGGUCAGGUUCGAGUGGACGAUGAGUGGCUAGCGAGCUAAACAAGCUACCCAGCUAGUGCCAAAUAAGAGGGAAGAAAUGCAAUACGUGAUUGAUAGGACGAUGAUACGGACGGAUGGAUGGUGAUCGAUCAUCCCCGUACCCAUCAAAUAUCGUUUUCAGGUUAAAGCAGCAGCUAUUUCCAGAGAUCGAUAGCAAGACACGCAUGCACGUGUCGACAGGCCGGAAAGAUGGAAUCUAUUUUCAUGAUAUAUAUGCAUCAUUUGUUUAUUUAUUUGUGAAAGGGCAAAAUUCCAUAUAUAAAACAUCACAAAUCUUUAUAAAACAAUCUUACAAAAUUUAAAAAUACAUCUAAAUCUUUGGAGGUGCUGAAGUCUUCUUUCUCCUACACAUAUGAUGGCAUGCCUUAUUACCGUCUCUAGGACUUCGUCUCAGCGGAGUAUACUCUUUUUUGUUCGAAUUCAAUGGAGCUAACUUGGUGAAACGCAGGAACGAAACAAGUAUGUGCAUGUAAAAUUGAAACAUAAACACGACCAUUUGUGCUUGGUGCAAGAAGAGCAAAACGGCCAAGCAGCGGUGUGAGCUACAAGUGCGGAAACAAGCAACCAACAUGUUAUUUUUGCACUGCACCAGCAAAUGAUCAAGUUUCAGUUUCAAAAUUUGCAUGCACAUACUUUAUAUUCAUUCUCUACGCAUGCAUGAUUAUUAUGAACUUUUAAAAACUUACAUGAUGUGUUUUUCAGAACCAAAACUCACUAUAGAGAGUCCGACGCACCCAGUACCACAUUAGCACUUUCCAGGUGUAUAUGCUACAUCUGGUACUUCCCCCCGUUUUCUUGGUGUUGGAAACUUCAAACCUGACGAUCCAUCUAGUGGACUUGAUAAUUAAUGGUCAUGGAUAAUACAGUGAAAGCAUUUGUGGUGCCAUUUACUUGACUGCUACAUGCGGUAGCAGCCUCAUGAAGUCAUGAGUCUUGAUCGCCAUGGGUACGUACAGGCCAGCCACAAGAACAUGCAUUUUUGUCUUUCUCGUGACUCGAUCAAUCGAUCAAUCAUGCCCACAUAAUCGAAAUUUCUCUCCUCCGCCAAGUAAAUAAAAUUGUAUGUAUCGAUGGGGUUAACUGAAUUUCACAUAAUUGACCCGACCGAUCGAUCGAGGCAAAAGAGGGAGCGCAAAGUGAGCAACAUCAACAGCACGUGCCACUCGAUAGCUAGGUGCCAAACAGAAAGAAAGAUAGAAAGAAGUAAAACCGGCCAAGCAGGAGUUUUCCCUAUACGUGAAUGUGACCCGUUCAGUGCAUGCAUACAUAUGUAUAUUUAUUCCACUUUUGACCCGACCACAUCAAUCGUAUCUAAUCUCUUGUAGCACAAAGGGAUGACUCGGUUCCAAGUUGUGAUGUUUACUGUGUACCUCAAGUUGUUUGUCUAUUUCAUUGCUCUUCACUCUUAUACGACGCUAAGCACUUGAAUUUUUGAGAGACGUUAAAUUCAGCCAGUGCAACAGGAGCGUGCACCGGAAAUUUUCUUCUCCGCCCACUUCCUACGUUACGUACGCAUAGGUGGUCUUUGGUUGGGUUAUGGAUUUUGUGAAAUAAAUAGGUGGUCUUUUAGCAAACAUCUCAUACAAUAAUUGUAUUUUUGAACAGUUGUAAUUUUUAAUGACAAAACUGAAUAGUGAAACACAACUAGUGGCAUAAUGAUAAAAACCCGUUAAUGUGAGGAGCCAAAGGAAAAAAGAAGAAUGAAGUGGUAUGGGGAUCCUACUGGCAAUAUUUUGUACUACCUAGGACUACUAUUCCAUCAGCCACUCAUCAGAGUUCCUCUCAAAGAAACCAAAGAAAAAUGACUCCGGACAAAGUUGAUUUUUUUCUUUCAAAACAUCAUAUCACUGAAAGAAUAAUUAUGAGACAUCAAAACUUCAAACAUAGGGUUUGAUCCCUGAUGGGUUAUAGAUACCAUCAUUCUCUUAACCUAAUACUUUUUUUAAUGGAGGGAGCAUAUGACAUCCGGACGACUAUUAUUUUUCUGAGUUCUUAUUCGCGCACAAGCACACAAUCGACUCAGAAAAGUAAAUGAACUAGCUAGACGCAUACAUGGUACAUGCCACAUCUGGUGCUUUCGUCCCGCUUUCUUGGAGUGAAAAUUCCAAAGCAGACGAUCGAGUUAGCUAGUGAGCUUGGAUUUUGUGUGAUCGUCUAGUCUUGACUACUGGCAGCCUCUCUUAGUCUUGAUCACUACCUGCAGCCUGUCAAUAAACAUAUGCAUUUUGUUUCUCUCGUGACUCGCUCAGCCAAUCAUAUCCAUAUGAUUAAGGCGACUCUCUUCUUUCCGCGUGAAAACCAAUCGUGUCCAGGGUGUUGAUUAUAGUUGACGGGUUAAAGGAGGAACGUAAACAACAAGAACAACACGUGCUAGAUGCCCCGCUGCCAAUCAGAAAGAAAGAAGUAAAACCGGCCAUCAAAGCAGGAGUUUUCCCAAAGUGACUACUGUUCGGUGCAUGAAUAUAUUAUAUUACUACCUUUUCCCACUUUUGACCCGACCAAUCGUUCUAUCCAAUCCAUCCAAUCUCCUCAAGCACAAAGGGGGCGACGCUAUUCGAGGCUGCAGUAACGCUGUCAAAAUUCGAUUCUUUUACGACGCUAAUUAAGCACUUGAUUAUGGAGAUGCAUUAGUUUGGUCAGAGCAACACGAGAGCUACUGGUGCCCUAACGCACGACGCGGGCAUGCGCCUGAUCAAACUAGCACGGGCACACACAGUUUUCCUCACUUUAAUUUUACCGACCAUCAUGACAAAUAUCUUACUCGAGCAACUUCCUAAGACAAAAGCAAAAGCACACGUUGGAUUGGUAGUUAGCUCAAAUAACUGAUUAAUUAAGCACUUUCUUGUGCUGAAAGGAAAGUGAUGCCCCACAAGCUAUGCAAGAAUGUCAACCGUAGCUAGUGGCUAAUUAGCUGAGUUGCAUGUGUACGGAUAUGCCCUCGUCAGUUAUGAAUUAAUCAAGUGAUGGUGCAUGAAUGGCCUUAAGAGUUGACCAAUUACUCACCAAGUUGUUCUUGCUGCCACAAAGGGAGAACCUUUUUGACGAUUGGGAAAACUGUUUUUAGCUGCUACUCCCUUGCAUUUUAGUUGAUCUUUAAUUUAACUAAGUAAAUAAUAAGUUAUACUCUAGGUCAAAAUUAAAGUAUACCACACACUAGUAGAAAAAGGGCCUUUAGCCCCGGUUCGGUUGGGUCAUUAGUCCCGAUUCACGAACCGGGACUAAUGCUAGCCCCGGUUCGGCCCCGAACCGGGGCUAAUGUCCUUCCACGUGGCGGGGCUAGGAGCGAGGGGGGAGGGGUAUUAGUCCCGGUUCAUAUUACGAACCGGGGUUAUUUCAUCGCAGUUUUUUGAGCAAUUUUUGGGUUUAGGGUUUUGCACUAAAUUGGAUGGGCUAUUUUGCUGCCCCCUAUUUUCUCAUUUAUUUGUUACAUAUAUAUUGCACAACUCACGAAUAUAUUACACCAUCUCAUCCGUCGUGCUUUGUCGAACAUAUUUACAAAAUGUAGACAUGAGUUACAUGCACAUAUAUGCAUCUUUUUUACACUAUAUGAUUUCAUAUCAUUUCCGUCGAAUGGCAAUAGUAUUCUAAUCGAUCAUCUAACAACUCAUCAUCAUCUUAAUCAUAUGCCAAGUUAUCAUAUGAUACACAUAAAAUAAAACAGAGAAACAUCAUAAUAGUCAUCAUAUGCAUGCAUCCUAAUCGAUCAUCUCAAGUAAUAAUAUAAACCAGAAUAACUUGUCUCUCAUAAGACCUACUCCUCGCUCUUAGGUAUAAUGUCAUAAAACAGAAUAAUACCUAUGUUUCCAUGAUGAAUCACAGAGAUCCAACGGUCUCCAACUUGUGGCUCGCGAACCUUCUUUAUUUCUCUCCAUGCUUCAAUUUGAAGCCUUUUUUAUCUUGAUUUGAGGUUACUCGAGUAUGGAGCAUCGAACUCAGCCCUCAACGGGCUUCUAAUUUUCAUUUGACCUUCUGGGAGCAUCAUCAGAGGCACUACAUCAUUUGGCAGUUGCUGCUGAAGAACAUAAUAAUAACCUAGUUAGCAAUGUAAUCAACACUAUUUAUGCAAUAGUACAGCGUACUUAAUUAGAAAACUCUUACCAAGAUAUUUCGACGAAUGUCAUCCGGCCUCAACCUAUGCACUAGUGGCAUGUAAAAUGUAUAAUUUUGACCAAUUCCAAAAUUAUACGGGAAGGUAUCCCUAGAAACCAGAACACUAGCAACAAGAAAGUGGAGAAGAACAUCCUUCUCCUCCUAAGUUAGAUGUGAUCCAUAUGUGUAGUGUGUCGUGUCAAUUAAUUUCCGUAAUUCAGUCGAAGCAAUGCAAUAAGCUGUAAAUUAUAAACCGAUGGCCCUAAAAUCUAAAUGGCAAUAGCCUUGGGGUGCCUAGAGCGGGAGGGGAGGGGGCGGCAGCGCCUGGAGGGGAAGGGCUUACCGGACCGGGAUGGGGAGGGGGCUGAUAUUUGUUGUGUAUCCCCGGCAACGGCGCCAGAAAUGCUUCUGAUGUUCGUUGUGCUACUGCACAAAAGACCUUCUGGUGACGCUAGAAAUGGGCACGUUCACGGCACUAGGAAUUCUUCUGCGUUGGUGUUCCCUUGAAGCGGAAAGGGUGAUGUAGCACAGCGACGGUAAGUAUUUCCCUCAAUUUGAGAACCAAGGUAUCAAUCCGGCGGAAGAGUAUCUCAAGAUCCUGUACAAACACAAAAGCUUGCACCCAACGCUAUGAAGGGGUUGUCAAUCCCUUAUAGAUUGUUUGCCAAGUAAGAACUGAAAGCAACAAAGUAACAAAGCACAGUAAAAGAGAGUUGAAACGAUGGAUGUGAAUAGACCCGGGGGCCGUAGUGUUUACUAGUGCCUUCUCUCAUGAAAGCAAGUAGACGGAGGGUGAACAAAUUACUGUCGAGCAAUUGAUAGAACUGUGCAGAAUCGUGAUGAUAUCUAUGCAAUGAUUAUUUCUAUAGGCAUCACAUCCGAAACAAGUAGACCGAUACUUUCUGCAUCUACUACUAUUACUCCACACGUCGACCGCUAUCCAGCACGCAUCUAGUGUAUUAAGUCCAUAAGAACAGAGUAACGCCUUAAGCAAGAUGACAUGAUGUAGAGGGAUAAUCUCAAACCAAUGAUAAAAACCCCAUCUUUUUACCCUUGAUGGCAACUCCUUGAUGUGUGCCUUGCUACCCCUACUGUCACUGGGAAAGGUCACCACAUGGCAGAACCCAAAACCAAGCACUUCUCCCAUUGCAAGAAUCAUAGAUCUAGUUGGCCAAACAAAAACCGAAGACUCAGAGAGACUUACAAGGAUAUCAAAUCAUGCAUAUAAGAAAUCAGCAAAGACUCAAAUAUAUAUCAUAGAUAAUCUGAUCACAAGUCCACAAUUCAUCGGAUCUCGAUAAACACACCGCCAAAGAAGAUUACAUCGGAUAGAUCUCCAUGAAGAUCAUGGAGAACUUUGUAUUGAAGAUCCAAGAGAGAGAGGAAGCCAUCUAGCUACUAACUACGGACCCGUAGGUCUGAAUUGAACUACUCACGAGUCAUUGGGGGGCGAUGAUGAUGAUGAAGAAGCCCUCCAACUCCAAAGUCCCCUCCGGCAGGGUGCCGGGAAGGGUCUCCAGAUGAGAUCUCGCGGAAACGGAAGCUUGCGGCGUCGAAAAAGUAUUUUCGAGGCUCCCCUAAUUUUUUUGCGGAAUAUUUGGGAAUUUAUAGGUCAAAGAUCUAGGUCAUGGGCGGCCAGGGAGGCCACAAGCCUGCCCACCGCCGCCUCCCCCUAGUGGCGGAGUGGGGGCUUGUGGGCUCCCUCGAGUCCACCUGGCUUGGCCCAAAAGCCCCAUGGACUUCUUCCGUUCGGGAAAAAAUUAUUUCGGGGUUUUUCUUCCGUUUGGACUCCGUUCCAAAAUCAGAUCUGAAAAGAGUCAAAAACACGGGAAAAACAGGAACUCGCACUUGGCACUGAAUUAAUAAGUUAGUCCCAAAAAGAUAUAAAAAGGUACAUAAAACAUACAAAGAAGGAAAGAUAACAGCGUGAAAUCAUCAAAAAUUAUAGAUACAUUUGAGACGUAUCAAGCAUCCCCAAGCUUAACUCCUGCUCGUCCUCGAGUAGGGAAGUGAUAAGAAUGAAUUUUUGAUGCUUUCAUGCUACCUAGCAUAGGUGUCCUUUGUAAUUCCUCUUAUGUGACGUGAAUGUUCAGAUCCAUUAGAUUCAAAACAAUAGUUUGCUAUUGACGUGGAAACAAUAAUAAUUCAAGCAAACUAGCAAAGUAAUCAUGAACUUUCAAAAUAACAAGGCCGAAAGAAAGUUAUCCCUACAAAAGCAUAUAGUCUAGCUAUGCUCUAUCAUCAUUGCACAACGAAUUUAAAUCAUGCACAACCCCGGUGUUGGCCAAGUAAUUGUUUCACACCUUUACUUUCUCAAACAUUCUCAACUCUCACGUAAUACAUGAGUGUGAGCCAUGGUUAUAGCACUAUAGAUGGUGUGAAAUGUGGUGGAGGUUGCAAGACAAAAAGGAGAAGAUAGUCACAUUAACUAGGCAUAUCAAUGAGCUGUGGAGAUGCUCAUCAAUAGAUAUCAAUGUGAAUGAGUAGGGAUUGCCAUACAAAUGAUGCACUAGAGCUACAAGUAUGUGAAAGCUCUUAAAGAAAACUAGUGGGUGUGCAUCCAACUUGCUUGCUCACGAAGACCUAAGGCAAUUUUGAGGAAGCUUAUCAUUGAAAUAUACAAGCCAAGUUAUAUAAUGAGAAUUUCCCACUAGCUAUAUGAUGGUGAAAAAACGAGAGACUCUCAAUCAUGAAGAUUAUGGUGCGCAAUAUGCACAAGUGUGGAAAAAGUGGUAGCAUUGUCCCUUCUCUCUUUUUCUCUCAAUUUUUUUUUAUUUUGGUGGGCUCUUUGGCCUCUUUUUUAUGGGCUUCUUUGGCCUCUUUUAUUUCCUCACAUGGGACAAUGCUCCAAUAAUGAUGAUCAUCACACUUUCAACUCAAAACUUAGAGCAAUUAUGACUCUAUAUGGAAUGCCUUCGGUAGUGUACCGUGGCAAUGAUCUAGCAUGGCAUAGACAUCAAUGGAAACAUCAUGCUAGCUAUCUUACGAUCGUGCAAACGCAAUGUAUACGUGGUGGCACAUGUCAUGGUGCUAGUUGCAUGGCAAUAUAUCUUGGAAUGACUUUGCAAAAGCCAUAGUAGGUAGGUAUGGUGGCUGUUUUGAGGGAGGCUAAUGGUGGGUUUUGUGCACUGGCGAAAGUUGCGCGGCACUAAGAAGAUAGUGAUGGUGGAAGGUGAAAGUGCAUCUAAACCAUGGACUCAUCAUUAGUCAUGAAGAACUCAUAUACUUGUUGCAAAAGUUUUAUUAGUAAUCGAAACAAGGCAUUCAACGCAUACUCCUAGGGGAAGGGUUGGUAGGUAUAAUACCAUCGCGCGAUCCCGACCGCCACGCAAAGGAUGACAAUCAAAAGACUAAUCAUGCUCAGACUUCAUCACAUAGCGGUUCACCAUACGUGCAUGCUACGGGAAUCACUAACUUCAACACAAUUAUUUCUAGAUCCACAACACCUUACUAGCAUGACUUCAAUAUUACCAAAACCACAACUCAAAACUAAUUGAGAUGAAUCAAACUUCUCUAACUAUUCAAUGCACAUGAAGGUGGAAGUUUUCGUAUCCCUUUGGAUAUCUACCCCUUUUGAGACUACUUUCAAAGCAUAGAUCAACUACCAAGACACGCACCUCUGCGCUCUAAAAGAUAUAAGUGAAGCACAUAGAGCAAAAGUAUCUAGCUCAAAAGAUAUAAGUGAAGCACAUGUGAGCUGAAUUGUCUACCAAAAGAUAUAAGUGAAGCUCGACAAAAUCACGGUGAGUGCAUGUCUCUCUCUCUAGGUGUGCAGCAAGGAUGAUUGUGACACAACAAAAAUAAAAGACUCCUACGAUACAAGACUCCCCAAGCAAAAACACAUAACAUGUGGUGAAUAAAAAUAUAGCCCCAAGUAACGUUACCGAUGGAUUGAAGACGAGAGAGGGGAUGCCUUCCCGGGGCAUCCCCAAGCUUAGGCUUUUACGUCAUCCUUGAAUCUCUUGGGGUGCCUUGGGCAUCCCCAAGCUUGAGAUCUUGCCACUCUUUAUCUCUUUGUCCAUAAGAACUUCACCCAAAACUUGAAAACUUCACAACACGAAACUUAAACAGAAACUCGUGAUAACAUUAGUACAAAAAAGCAAACCACCACUUCCUUAGGUACUGUAGCAAACUUAACUUCUACUUGUGCUGAUGUUGGGUUACUGUACUUUCAAUUUUCCAUGGCUAAUAUCCCCCGAUACUAUCCAUAGUUUCAUCAAAAUAAGCAACCAACACAACAAAAACAGAAUCUGUUAACAGCAGACCAGUCUGUAGAAAUCUGUAUGUUUCAUAUAGCUCUGGUACUUCCAAAAUUCUGAAAACUUAAGACAGUCUGAAGAAUUUGCGUAGAAAUCAGCAGAAAAAAGAAUCAACUCAAAAGCUCUUACAUAAAAAAAAUAUAAAUUCUUUUCGUGAGCAGAAAGUUUCUGUCUUUUCCAGCACGACCAAACGAUCAUCCUCAAGACUAAUCAUAACGGUUUUGCUUGGCACAAACGCAAAAAGAAACACAAAAAACAUAUUCAUAACAUAAUCAUGAAAGUGUGGAAAACACAAAACAGAAAGAAAAAAGGAUAGAUUCGUUGGGUUGCCUCCCAACAAGCGCUUUUGUUUAACGCCCUUAGCUAGGCGAAAGUGAUGGAAUCACGUAUAGUCAUCUUUGGUACUCAAACCAUAAGUAGCCCUCAUCAUAGAUUCACAAGGCAAUCUUAUUUUCUUUCUAGGAAUGUGCUCCAUGCCCUUCUUUAAGGGAAAUUGAAAUCUAAUAUUCCCUUCCUUCAUAUCGAUGAUAGCACCAAUAGUCCUUAGGAAAGGUCUACCAAGAAUAAUGGGACAUGAAGGAUUGCAAUCUAUGUCAAGUACAAAGAAAUACACGGAUACAUAGUUCUUAUUUGCAACAAUAAGAACAUCAUCGAUCCUCCCCAUGGGCUUCUUGUUGGUAGAAUCCGCAAGAUGCAAAUUAAGAGAACACUCUUCAAUCUCAUGGAAACCAAGAAUAUCACAUAAAGACUUUGGAAUCGCGGAAACACUAGCACCCAAAUCACACAAAGCAUUGCACUCAUAGUUUUUUAUCUUGAUUUUGAUAGUAGGUUCCCACUCAUUUUGAAGUUUUCUAGGUAUAGAGACUUCUAGUUCGAGCUUCUCUUCAAGAGAUUUCAUCAUAGCAUCUACGAUAGAAAUGCAUUCAAACAAGGAGCAAUUAUCAUAAUUGAAUUCCUUGAAAUCCAAAGUGGGAGUUUCAUUACUACCCAAAAUUUUGACUUCUUCUACUCCACUCUCCACACCUUUAUCAUCAAGAUAGGUGGACUCCGAAUCAUCGGGGCGUUUUUCAACCAAAGUGGAUUCAUAUCCAGCCCCUCCAUAAGUAGGUUUGACAUGCGAAAACAAAGAUUCAAGAGGAGACAUACCAACCACUUUAAGAUCUUCGUGAUUUGCAUCACUAGAAUGCACCCUUUUAAACAUUCAUGUCUAGCGUGAAUUUGGACGGUUCUUUCUUUGCUCUCAUUCAUGGAGAUACGCAUAGCUUUAAAAGUUUUAUCCAAGUUGAUCUUGGGAGGAGCGCAUCUAACUUUCAAAGAAUCAAUAUCACAAGACAUCCUAUCAACGCACUUAGCCAAAUCGUCUAUUUUGAGUAGUUUUUCCUCUAUGGACGCAUUGAAAAUCUUUUGAGAGUUGAUGAACUCUUUGAUAUUACUCUCUAGAUCAGAGGGUAAUUUUUUAUGAUUUCCAUAAGUGUUGCCGUAGGAAUUGCCAUAAUUGUUAGAGGAGUUACUAGGAAAAGGCCUAGGAACAUAGUUUCCUCUAAAAGCAUUAUUGUUGCCAAAAUUGUUCCUACCAACAAAAUUCAUGUCCAAACUAGCAUUGCUACUCUCAAUCAAAGAAGAUAGUGGCAUGUCAUUAGGAUCUACGGUAGUAUUUCUACUAGCAACCAAAUUCAUCAACUCGUCCAUCUUAGCACUAAGCGAGUUAAUCUCUUCUAUAGCGUGCACCUUUUUGCUAGCAGACGACCUUUCAGUGUGCCACUGAGAGUAGUUGGUCAUGAUAUUGUCUAGGAGUUUUGUAGCGUCUCCUAACGUGAUUUACAUGAAUGUUCCACCUGAGGCGGAGUCCAAGAUAUUGCGAGAAGCGAAAUUCAAGCCAGCGUAAAAGAUUUGUAUAAUCAUCCACAAACUCAAGCCAUGAGCAGGACAAUUUCUAAUCAUAAGCUUCAUCCUCUCCCAAGAUUGUGCAACGUGUUCAUGAUCAAGUUGCUUGAAAUUCAUGAUAUCGUUAUGUAAGGAGAUGAACUUAGCCGGCGGAAAAUACUUAGAUAUGUAAGUAUCUUUGUGUUGGGUAACGUCGCAUGGGAAACAAAAAUUUUCCUACGCGCACGCCUAUCAUGGUGAUGUCCAUCUACGAGAGGGGAUGUGUGAUCUACGUACCCUUGUAGACCGUACAGCAGAAGCGUUAGUGAACGCGGUUGAUGUAGUGGAACGUCCUCACGUCCCUUGAUCCGCCCCGCGAACCGUCCCGCGAUCAGUCCCACGAUCUAAUGUCGAACGGACGGCACCUCCGCGUUCAGCACACGUACAACUCGACGAUGAUCUCGGCCUUCUUGAUCCAGCAAGAGAGACGGAGAGGUAGAAGAGUUCUCCGGCAGCAUGACGGCGCUCCGGAGGUUGGUGAUGAUAUCGUCUCGGCAGGGCUCCACCCGAGCUCCGCAGAAACGCGACCUAGAGGUAAAACCGUGGAGAUAUGUGGUCGGGCUACCGUGGCAAAGUUGUCUCAAAUCAGCCCUAAAACCUCCGUAUAUAUAGGGGGAGGAGGGGGAGCCUUGCCUUGGGGUCCAAGGACUCCCAAGGGGGUCGGCCGAGCCUAAGGGGGGAACCCUCCCCUUCCAAACCGAGUCCAACUAGGUUUGGAAGGAGGAGUCCUUCCCCCUUUCCCACCUCCUCUUUUUUUUCUCUUUGAUUUUCUUCCUAUGGCGCAUAGGGCCUUCUUGGGCUGUCCCACCAGCCCACUAAGGGCUGGUGCGCCACCCCCAAGGCCUAUGGGCUUCCCCGGGGUGGGUUGCCCCCCCCGGUGAACUCCCGGAACCCAUUCGUCAUUCCCCGUACAUUCCCGGUAACUCCGAAAACCUUACGGUAAUCAAAUGAGGUCAUCCUAUAUAUCAAUCUUCGUUUCCGGACCAUUCCAAAAACCCUCGUGACGUCCGUGAUCUCAUCCGGGACUCCGAACAACAUUCGGUAACCAACCAUAUAACUCAAAUACGCAUAAAACAACGUCGAACCUUAAGUGUGCAGACCCUGCGGGUUCGAGAACUAUGUAGACAUGACCCGAGAGACUCCUCGGUCAAUAUCCAAUAGCGGGACCUGGAUGCCCAUAUUGGAUCCUACAUAUUCUACGAAGAUCUUAUCGUUUGAACCUCAGUGCCAAGGAUUCAUAUAAUCCCGUAUGUCAUUCCCUUUGUCCUUCGGUAUGUUACUUGCCCGAGAUUCGAUCGUCAGUAUCCGUAUACCUAUUUCAAUCUCGUUUACCCGCAAGUCCCUUUACUCAUUCCGUAAUACAAGAUCCCGCAACUUACAUUAAGUCACAUUGCUUGCAAGGCUUGUGUGUGAUGUUGUAUUACCGAGUGGGCCCCGAGAUACCUCUCCGUCACACGGAGUGACAAAUCCCAGUCUCAAUCCAUACUAACUCAACGAACACCUUCGGAGAUACCUGUAGAGCAUCUUUAUAGUCACCCAGUUAUGUUGCGACGUUUGAUACACACAAAGUAUUCCUCCGGUGUCAGUGAGUUAUAUGAUCUCAUGGUCAUAGGAACAAAUACUUGACACGCAGAAAACAGUAGCAACAAAAUGACACGAUCAACAUGCUACGUCUAUUAGUUUGGGUCUAGUCCAUCACGUGUUUCUCCUAAUGACGUGAUCCAGUUAUCAAGCAACAACACCUUGUUCAUAAUCAGAAGACACUGACUAUCUUUGAUCAACUGGCUAGCCAACUAGAGGCUUGCUAGGGACAGUGUUUUGUCUAUGUAUCCACACAUGUAUUUAUGUCUUCAUUCAAUACAAUUAUAGCAUGGAUAAUAAACGAUUAUCUUGAUAUAGGAAUUAUAAUAAUAACUAUAUUUAUUAUUGCAUCUAGGGCAUAAUUCCAACACUUUGCACCUAUCCCAAGAAUCGAUACUAUUUUUAGGCAAAGAAGAAAACCAAGUUUUUGCGCGAUCUCGCAACGAGAAAGGAAAAAGUUUUAACUUAAUCACGUCAUUAUCCACAUCUCUUUUCUUUUGCAUAUCACAAAGCUCAAUGAAGGUAUUGAGAUGGGAUGCGACAUCUUCACUAGGAAGGCCAGAGAAUUGCUCUUUCAUAACAAGAUUCAGCAAAGCUGUGUUGAUUUCAUACGAUGCCACACUAGUGGCGGGAGCAAUCGGAGUACUAAUAAAAUCAUUAUUAUUAGUGCUCGAGAAGUCACAAAGUUUGGUAUUUUCAGACAUGAUGUCUUCAACAAACAAACAAGCACACAAGCAAGCAAGAAACCGGAAAAGGAAAACGGCAAGGGCAAGAGAAAACGGCGAAGGAGAAAGGCGAAUGAAAACAACAAAUGUGAAGUGGGGGAGAGGAAAACGAGAGGCAACUCGCAACAAAAGUAAAUGCAAGAGAAGAGUUUGUGAGACCUACUUGGAUAGAUCUUGAUUUCUCCUCCCCGGCAACGGCGCUAGAAAUACUUCUUGAUGUUUGCUGUGUAUCCCCGGCAACGGCGCCAGAAAUGCUUCUGAACUCCAUUGUGCUACUGCACAAAAGACCUUCUGGUGGCGCCAGAAAUGGGCACGUUCACGGCACUAGGAAUUCUUUUGCGUUGGUGUUCCCUCGAAGCGGAAAGGGUGAUGUAGCACAGCGACGGUAAGUAUUUCCCCCAGUUUGAGAACCAAGGUAUCAAUCCGGCGGAAGAGUAUCUCAAGAUCCUGCACAAACACAAAAGCUUGCACCCAGCGCUAUGAAGGGGUUGUCAAUCCCUUAUAGAUUGUUUGCCAAGUGAGAACUGAAAGCAACAAAGUAACACAACAAAGUAAAAGUGGGGUUGUAAACGAUGGAUGUGAAUAGACCCGGGGGCAUAGUAUUUACUAGUGGCUUCUCUCAUGAAAGCAAGUAGACGGAGGGUGAACAAAUUACUGUCGAGCAAUUGAUAAAACUGUGCAGAGUCGUGACGAUAUCUAUGCAAUGAUUAUUUCUAUAGGCAUCACGUCCGAAACAAGUAGACCGAUACUUUCUGCAUCUACUACUAUUACUCCACACGUCGACCGCUAUCCAGCAUGCAUAGUGUAUUAAGUCCAUAAGAACAGAGUAACGCCUUAAGCAAGAUGACAUGAUGUAGAGGGAUAAUCUCAAACCAAUGAUAAAAACCCCAUCUUUUUACCCUUGAUGGCAACUCCUUGAUGUGUGCCUUGCUACCCCUACUGUCACUGGGAAAGGUCACCACAUGGCAGAACCCAAAACCAAGCACUUCUCCCAUUGCAAGAAUCAUAGAUCUAGUUAGCCAAACAAAACCCAAGACUCGGAGAGACUUACAAGGAUAUCAAAUCAGGCAUAUAAGAAAUCAACAAAGACUCAAAUAUAUAUCAUAGAUAAUCUGAUCACAAGUCCACAAUUCAUCGGAUCUCGACAAACACACCGCCAAAGAAUAUUACAUCGGAUAGAUCUCCAUGAAGAUCAUGGAGAACUAUGUAUUGAAGAUCCAAGAGAGAGAGGAAGCUAUCUAGAUACUAACUACAGACCCGUAGGUCUGAAGUGAACUACUCACAAGUCAUUGGAGGGGCGAUGAUGAUGAUGAUGAAGCCCUCCAACUCCAAAGUCCUCUCCGGAGGGUGCCGGGAAGGGUCUCCAGAUGAGAUCUCGCGAAAACGGAAGCUUGCGGCGACGGAAAAAGUAUUUUCGAGGCUCCCCUGAUUUUUUGCGGAAUAUUUGGGAAUUUAUAGGCCAAAGAUCUAGGUCAGGGGCGGCCAGGGAGGCCACAAGCCUGCCCACGGCCGCCUCCCCCCUGGUGGCGGAGUGGGCGCUUGUGGGCUCCCUGGAGCCCACCUGGCUUGGCCCAAAAGCCCCCUGGACUUCUUCCGUUUGGGAUAAAAUCAUUUUGGGGUUUUUCUUCCGUUUGGACUCUGUUCCAAAAUCAGAUCUGAAAAGAGUCAAAAACAUGGAAAAAAUAGUAACUGGCACUUGGCACUGAAUUAAUAAGUUAGUCCCAAAAAGAUAUAAAAAGGUAUAUAAAACAUACAAAGAAGGCAAGACAACAGCGUGAAAUCAUCAAAAAUUAUAGAUACGUUUGAGAUGUAUCAGGGGCCGGCCGGCUUACCGGAGCGGGAGAGGGGAAGGGGGCUUACCGCAGGAGGGGAGGGGGGCGGCGGCGACGACGACGACGACGGCGAGGGAGGCGGCGACGACGACGACAACGGCGAGGGAGGCGGCGGCGGGGAGGAGCACGGAGACGGAGACGGCGACGGCGUCGGGGAAGAGUCGGCGUCGAGGGUUCGUCCGCGUCGCGCGCGAGAGGAGGAAGAAGAUGGAAACCGCGAUUUGGACAUCACAAAUUUCUAACUACCGCCUAUAUAGGCGGACCUUUGGUCCCGGGCAUGGCUCAAACCUCGACUAAAGACCAUCUUUAGUCCCGGGCCGAGCCACGACCCAGGUCUAAAGACCCCUUUUCAGCAGGCGGAGUGGCGGGAAAUGAGGGUCUUUAGUCCCGGGUCGUGCCUCGACCCGGAACUAAAGGUGGUCUUUAGUCCCGGUUCGAGCCACGACCCGGGACUAAAGACCUUUGGCUAGCGGCAUUUCAAAGUUUAGUCCCACCUCGCUUGUCGAGAGGAGCCGCGACUGGUUUAUAAGCCCCGCUACGCCAACUUUGUCGAGCUCCUCUCUAAAGAAGGCUUACGGGCCUAAACGCACUGUAAAUUUAAAAAUUGAAAAUAUAUGUGAAAUUAAAGACAAAGUUUAACCUAAAUUCAAAGUGACCUAAAUUCUUUAUGUCACUUUCAAUUUAGGUUGAAUUUUCUCUAUAAAUUAUCAUCCAUUAUUUUUGUUUUGUUCUUGACUUUAUUUAUUUUGUUUUUUCUACUUACACCUAAAUAUUUAGUUUCUAUUAAACGUUUUAACCAAAAAAACUUUAUGAAAAUUCUUUUGAGUUGAUUUUUUUUUCUUUUUAGUUAAUAUUUUACUUGAUUUUUUUUAACAAAUAUGCACUUUGAUAAUUUUAGUUGAUUAUUUUUAAUUCAUUCAUUUUAGUUAAUGUUUUAUUUGAUUCUUUUUAGUUGACUUUUUUUUAUUUUCUAUUAAAAAAAAUUCAUAAAUUUUCAACAAUUUCUGACUUCAUUUGCUAUUUUUCGUGCAUUUACUUUUUUUUGAGCUAGUUGACCCUGAAAUUGAAAAGCACUACAAAUGAACUCUGAAAAUGGUGAAAGUUGGCAUGGUAUCAUCAUUUGACCCACAUAGCAAGUGCUAAAAACUUGAGAGGGUUACGACAAAAACUGGAUGCAUUUCGUGUACAAAACGAACAACAUCUCUCGAAAUAUCAUGRUUUCGAACGUAGAACUCAUCUGUUACAUCAGGNCUAAAGGUGGUCUUUAGUCCCGGUUCGAGCCACGACCCGGGACUAAAGACCUUUGGCUAGCGGCAUUUCAAAGUUUAGUCCCACCUCGCUUGUCGAGAGGAGCCGCGACUGGUUUAUAAGCCCCGCUACGCCAACUUUGUCGAGCUCCUCUCUAAAGAAGGCUUACGGGCCUAAACGCACUGUAAAUUUAAAAAUUGAAAAUAUAUGUGAAAUUAAAGACAAAGUUUAACCUAAAUUCAAAGUGACCUAAAUUCUUUAUGUCACUUUCAAUUUAGGUUGAAUUUUCUCUAUAAAUUAUCAUCCAUUAUUUUUGUUUUGUUCUUGACUUUAUUUAUUUUGUUUUUUCUACUUACACCUAAAUAUUUAGUUUCUAUUAAACGUUUUAACCAAAAAAACUUUAUGAAAAUUCUUUUGAGUUGAUUUUUUUUUCUUUUUAGUUAAUAUUUUACUUGAUUUUUUUUAACAAAUAUGCACUUUGAUAAUUUUAGUUGAUUAUUUUUAAUUCAUUCAUUUUAGUUAAUGUUUUAUUUGAUUCUUUUUAGUUGACUUUUUUUUAUUUUCUAUUAAAAAAAUUCAUAAAUUUUCAACAAUUUCUGACUUCAUUUGCUAUUUUUCGUGCAUUUACUUUUUUUUUGAGCUAGUUGACCCUGAAAUUGAAAAGCACUACAAAUGAACUCUGAAAAUGUUAAAAGUUACCAUGGUAUCAUCAUUUCACCCACAUAGCAUGUGCUAGAAAGUUAAGAGAAUUAUGACAAAACUAGAUGCAUUCCGUGUACAAAACGGACAAUAUCUCUCAAAGUAUCAGGAUUUCGAACGAGAACUCAUCUGUUACAUCAGGAUUUAUUUUUUUGAACUUAUUUGCACUCCAUACUUUUUGUGUGUUGAAAAUACACCAUUCAAAGACACAUCAUAAAUUCUCAAUAAUUUCUGACUUCAUUUGCUACUUUUCGUGCAUUUACUUAUUUUUUUAGCUAGUUGACGCUGAAAUUAAAAAACACUACAAAUUAACUCUGAAAAUGUUCAAAAUUGGAAUGUUAUCAUCAUUUCACCCACAUAGCAUGUGCUAAAAAUUUGAGAGGGUUACGACAAAAACUGGAUGCACUUCGUGUACAAAACGGACAAUCUCUCUCGAAGUAUGAGAGUUUCGAACAAGAACUCAUCUGUUACAUAGGGAUUUCAUUUUUUUGAACUUAUUUGAACUCCAUACUUUUUGUGUGUUGAAAAUGCACCAUUCAAAGGCACAUCAUAUAUUUUCAAAAAUUUCUGACUUCAUUUGGUAUUUUUCGUACAUUUACUUAUUUAUUUUUUUGAGCUAGUUGACCCUGAAAUUCAAAAGCACUACAAAUGAAUUUUGAAAAUGUUGAAAGUUGGCAUGGUAUAAUCAUUUCACCCACAUAGCAUGUGCUAAAAAGGUGAGAGGGUUACGACUAAAACUGGAUGCACUUCGUGUACAAAACGGACAAUCUCUCUCGAAGUAUGAGGGUUUCGAACGAGAACUCAUCUGUUACAAAGGGAUUUCAUUUUUUUGAACUUAUUUGAACUCCGUACUUUUUGUGUGUUGAAAAUGCACCAUUCAAAGGCACAUCAUAAAUUUUCAACAAUUUCUGACUUCAUUUGCUAUUUUUCGUAGAUUUACUUUUUUUGAGCUAGUUGACCCUGAAAUUGAAAAGCACUACAAAUGAACUCUGAAAACGUUCAAAGUUGGCAUGGUAUCAUCAUUUCACCCACGUAUAAUGUGCUAAAAUUUUGAGAGGCUUACGAAAAAAACUGAAUGCACUUCCUGUAAAAACGGACAAUCUCUCUCAAAGUAUCAGGGUUUCGAACGAGAACUAUCUGUUACAAAGGGAUUUGAUUCUUUUGAACUUAUUUGAACUCCAUACUUUUUGUGUGUUGAAAAUGCACCAUUCAAAGCCACAUCACAGUAUUUUCAAAAAAUUCUAACUUCGUUUGGUAUUUUUCGUGCAUUUACUUAUUUGUUUUGAGCUAGUUGACCCUGAAAUUGAAAAGCACUACAAAUGAACUCUGAAAAUGGUGAAAGUUGGCAUGGUAUCAUCAUUUGACCCACAUAGCAAGUGCUAAAAACUUGAGAGGGUUACGACAAAAACUGGAUGCAUUUCGUGUACAAAACGAACAACAUCUCUCGAAAUAUCAUGGUUUCGAACGAGAACUCAUCUGUUACAAAGGGAUUUCAUUUUUUUGAACUUAUUUAAACUCCAUACUUUUUGUGUGUUGAAGAUUUACCAUCUAAAGGGACAUCACAAUUUUUGAACAAUUUCUAACUUCAUUUGGUAUUUUUCGUGUAUUUACUUAUUGUUUUGGAGCUAGUUGUCCGUGAAAUUGAAAAGCACUACAAAUGAACUCUGAAAAUGUUGAAAGUUGGCAUGAUAUAAUCAUUUCAACCACAUAGCAUGUGCUAGAAAGUUAAGAGGCUUACGACAAAAACUGGAUGCACUUCGUGUACAAAACGGACAAUCUCUUUCGAAGUAUCACGGUUUCGAACGAGAACUCAUCUCGUUACAAAGGGAUUUCAUUUUUUUGAACUUAUUUGAACUCCAUACUUUUUGUGUGUUGAAAAUGCACCAUUCAAAGGCACAUCACAAAUUUUCAACAAUUUCUGACUUCAUUUGGUAUUUUUCGUGCAUUUACUUAUUUGUUUUUGAGCUUGUUGACCCUGAAAUUGAAAAGCACAACAAAUGAACUCUAAAAAUAUUGAAAGUUGGCAUGGUAUCAUCAUUUCACCCACAUAACAUGUGCUAAAAACUUGAGAGGUUACGACAAAAACUGGAUGCACUUCGUGUACAAAACGGACAAUCUCUCUCGAAGUAUCACGGACUAAAAAGUUGAGAAGCGACCCCCACAACAACAGUCGGCAUUCUUCUUAUCUCAUAUAUGGUGGACACUCCCUCACUGAUUUUUCGACCGUCGAUGAUGGUCGCUAUUCCUUCUUCCCCUAGUGCAUAACAAAUAUCUAGCGCAAGGAGAAGAAGGCAAAGCAACCCCACAACAACAGUUGGCAUUCUUAUUCUCCCAAAUAUGGUGGACACUCCCUCACCUGAUUUUUCCACCGUCGAUGAUGGCCGCUACUCCUUCUUCCCCUAGUGCAUAACAAAUAUCUAGCCCAAGGAGAAGAAGGAGAAGCGACCCCCACAACAACAAUCGGCAUUCUUCUUCUCUCAUAUAUGGUGGACACUCCCUCACCUGAUUUUUCGACCGUCCAUGAUGGUCGCUACUCCUUCUUCACCUAGUGCAUAACAAAUAUCUAGCACAAGGAGAAGAAGGAAAAGCGACCCCCACAACAACAGUCGACAUUCUUCUUCUCUCAUAUAUGGUGGACACUUCCUCACCUGAUUUUUCGACCGUCGAUGAUGGUUGCUACUCCUUCUUCCCCUAGUGCAUAAAAAAUAUCUAGCACAAGGAGAAGAAGGAGAAGCGACCCCCACAACAACAGUCGGCAUUUUUCUUCUCUCAUAUAUGGUGGACACUCCCUCACCUGAUUUUUCGACCGUCGAUGAUGGUCGCUAUUCCUUCUUCCCCUAGUGCAUAACAAAUAUCUAGAACAACGAGAAGAAGGAAAAGCGACCCCCACAACAACAGUCGAUAUUCUUCUUCUCUCAUAUAUGGUGGACACUCCCUCACCUGAUUUUUCGAUCAUCGAUGAUGGUUGCUACUCCUUCUUCCCCUAGUGCAUAAAAAAUAUCUAGCACAAGGAGAAGAAGGAGAAGCGACCCUCACAACAACAGUCGGCAUUCUUCUUCUCUCAUAUAUGGUGGGUCGGGCAUUUCAUCGAACAUCUUAUGUGCAUGAACUAGAGUGGCAAGAGCAUGGCAUGCAUGGUCACACCUCACUUGGUACUAGACAGGGAAGGGUACCCAUAUUUAAUUUGUGGUUCUGCUGGUGCUUCGGUGGUUGAAAACACACUCUAGAAUUUAUUAGUCAAAUCAAUUUAGUUAGUACGAUAUAUAGUACAAUGUAUAUUUACCAUUUCGGAUUCAAAUUAGGUCUUCAACUAUGGGAGCAACUAGUUACACGGUACUGUUUGAAACCACCACUAGAGGAGGUGCUCUUCACCAUUAAACACAGGUGUGCUCCCUCUAUGGUAAAGCACUUGCAACAAAAUGAGGAGAGAGGUGAAGCACAUAUGUGAUUCAAAGUCGGAGGACAAGUGUGAUUUAUCGCAGACUAUGUGUGUGCUUCAUCGCGAAGCGUAGGUGUACUCGAGCGGGUGGAGCAUGGGUGUGUCCCAAAAAAAGAAGAUAACACACAUAUCUGCUCCGGGGUGCUUCGUCGUGGAUCACAUAUGUGCCUCACCGCGAAGAGUAGGUGUGCUCCUUUUUUUUGGAGCAUGGGUGCGCUUCCCAGUGAAGUACAAUUGUACUUUCUGAUGGAGCACACAUGUACUCCCAACGGUGUAGCAUGUACAAACCCGAAAAUAAUAGGUAAAGAGCAACCUGAUCUCCUCUCUUUCCAUCAUGUGUCGAACGCAGAGCGCACCGAAGAUCAAUCUCGACGCAUGAAAUUAAUUGUGCCACUUGUCACACAAGGAAGCGACAUGGGUGACCCUUGCAAGGGGUGCCCCUUAGCUAGUGAUUUUGACAACUCUAGAGAAAAAAUGAAUUCAUGUUAUGAAACGUAGUUAUUGUUGGACCACAAAUAUUUUGGGCCAACAAUAUGAUAAGUUUUUGUUUCUAAGUAGUGUUUCCAAAAAUUUCAGUUUUUUUGCGACAUGUUAUGUCUACGUGCUAUUUUUUUAGAGUUAUUAACAAGGUUCACGGGUUGCUCUCAAUUAUCGUCGCACCGGAUACUACUGCCGAGGGGGGGGGGGAGCUAUGGCUAUAACCCUAGGCCUGGUACCAACAUUCCUUGCAAUUCCUUUCUACAAUACAAAGCACUGAAAAAUUCGAGAGUUCAUCAUUCAAGCUAGCUCAACCCGUGUUAUGGUCUAUCCUUUCCUAAGAUAGUUUGUAGUCAUAAGUAUUUUUGGGAAUAUCCAACAAUAACAACAACAAAGUCUUUAGUUCCAAGAAAAUUGGGAUAGGCUAAAGGUGAAAUCCAUCAGAUCUCACGAUCAACUUAUUGUUGUAGCACAUGGAUAGCAAGCUUCCACACCUCUGUUCAUGGCUAGUUCUUUAGAUUUUUGGGAAUAUCCGUGGUCAUAAAUUAAUUAUGUGCGAGGAGCCAAAGGAAAAAAAGAUGAACUGGUAUAGGGAUACUUCUGGCAAUCUCUUGUACUUCCUUGGUUCCUAAAUAUAAGUAUUUUUAGAGAUUUCAUUAGGAGACUACAUAUAGAACAAAAUUAGUGAAUCUACUCUUUAAAGUGUGUUCAUAUACAUUUGUAUGUAGUCUUCUAGUGAAACCUCUAAAAAGAUUUAUAUUUAGGAAUGGAGGAAGUACCUGGAACCAAUAUUCCAUCAGCCACUCAUCAGAGUUCCCCCUAAAGAAAACCAUGCUUUAUUUUUUGAAAAAUAUAGAAAUUGGCUUCGGACAAAGUUGGACCUUUUUUCUUAAACGUCGUCUUCCUACUGGAAGAAUAAUCUGUAUUAAUAAGACAUUAAAACGUCAAACGUAAGAUUUGAUCGGUUGGAGAUACCAGUCCUUUUAACCUAAUAAGGGCUCCUUUGAUUCACAGGGUUGGGGAAGCAUAGGAAUAGGAAACAUUCGAGAAUAGGAUGCACUGCCCACUGAAAUCCUACGUCCGGUAAGCAAAACAAAGGAAAUUUUUCAUGAAGUCCAACCUCAUGCUUGUUUUUCUGUGAAAAUGAACUAAGAAGUUUCUAUAGGAUUGGUCCCUGAGAAAUGCAAUCCUGCGAAUCAAACAACAUGUAGAGGAGAAAUUCUAAAUGAUGCAAGUCCUGUAAAAAAACCUAUGCAAAUUCUGUGAAUCAAAGGAGGCCUAAGUUUUGAAUGGAGGGAGUACAAGACAUCCGGAUGGCUAUUAUUUUUCUGAGCUCUAAUUCGCGAAAAGAAAGAGGGCACGCACAUGAUGGAUGCACAAAAGUAAAUUAACUAGUCAGACGCGUACAUGGUACAUGCCACAUCUGGUGCUUUCCUCCCGCUUUCUUGGAGUGGAAAUUCCAAAGCAGACGAUCGAGUUAGCUAGUGAGCUUGGAUUCUGUGUCAUCGUCUAGUCUUGACUGCUGGCAGCCUCUCUUAGUCUUGAUCACUACCUGCAGCCUGCCAAUAAACAUAUGCAUUUUGUUCUUCUCGUGACUCGCUCAGCCAAUCAUAUCCAUAUGAUUAAGAUGACUCUCUUCUUUCCGCGUGAAAACUGAAAACCAAUCGUGUCCAAAGGAUGAUUACCGUUGACGGUUUACAACAACAACAACAACAACACAUGUUACAUACCCCGCUGCCAAUCAGAAAGAAAGAAGUAAAACCGGCCAGCCAAGCAGGAGUUUUUCCAAAGUGACUACUGUUCGGUGCAUGAAUAUAUUGCUACCUUUUUCUACUUUUGACUAUCCAAUCCAAUCGGUCUAUCCAAUCCAAUCGAAUCCACUCUCCUCAAACACAAAGGGAGCGACUGUUCUUCAGUUUUAUGUUGUACGACGCUAAUUAAGCACUUGAUUAUGGAGAAGCGUUAGUUCGGUCAGAGCAACACGAGAACUACUGGUGCAUACGUGGAGUCAACACACAUGCAUAUAUACGCAUGAAUAGUGCAGCCUGCUGCUGCUGCUGCAGGUCAGAAGUCUGAAAAGAAGAUUAACCAUUUCAAGAACGUGUGACAGACCUGCUUUUUAAUCUACACGAGUGCCCACCCAAUCUUCUUUGUCAAGCAAAGACCCGUUUGUGAGGCGAUACGACCAACCGUUUAGGCAACUCCAAUACAUGACCUUAAAUAAACGUCCGUUUAAUUUGGAUUCAGUCUGUUUGAGGUGAAAAAACAAACGCUCAUGUCCGGGACCGGCUAGCCUAGUGUCAAGGCGCCCAACGCACGGCCCCAACUUCAACUUAUUCGUGGUGGACAUAGAUAAAAAGAAUAUAAAAAAUGCAUGUAAAAACUAAAACAAGGCAUUACAUAAUAGCUAAAAACAUAAAACAACUUAUUUAAAAGUCCACCGUCCUCACGGCCCAACCAUUGUACUUAGUUUUAAUUAAAAUAAAAAGAUAAUGUGGCCUGCCCGUGCACGGCAGAAGCCCUAGUCGUCGACGUCGAUGUCGUUGCAGUCGCCGUCCUCAAGCGCCAUCAUCGUCGCUCGUCAGGUCGAUGUAGGGUGAGAGCGACCAAAGGUGCGGCGGUGGCCUCAGAUUGGGUCAGGCGUGUGUUGUGCAGGCGGCAGUGUUGGGGAUGGUGACCACGGAACCCAUGCACGCUCCUCUGUGGGCUCCUCCUUCACCUCUUGCUUGACAUCCAGCUUCGGGACGCACACGUCCCCGAGGCCGACAGCUCCAACAUCUCCUAUAGGCCCUUCCAUUCCUCCUCCUCCUGGCGCAUGUACUCCCUCUCGGAGUCCUCCAUGACGGCCUGCAGGAGCCGCUCCUCCUCAUUGGCGUCAUGGCAGGACACUAGUAGGGAAAAGCCUUGUAGUAGCGCGGGUGCCAGCGCUACUACUAGGGCGCUGCAGCUAACUUGUAGUAAUAGGGAAGGCGCCAUCCGCUACUGCUAACUAUAUGUAGCGUGUGUCCGUUACCCGCGUUGCUACUAUUAAUUUCAAAAACCAAAAAAAAUCUCGAUCUUGUGCGUGUUGUCUAUGGUGUGAAUGGUUCGAUAUAGUGAUGAUAGCGCUCAGCGGAGGCGCGAACGGGUAGCGGUAGACCAGAUUCGGCAACGGUUGUUGGAGAGGUACCAGAUCCAGGGUAGAGCCACUAGUAGAAAUAAGGGCUUUCGUCCCAGCUCGAAAAACACAUUAGUUCCGGUUCCUUUACGAACCGGGACUAAAGGGUUUGGAGGCUUUAGGUACCAGAUCCAGAGCGGCAAAGGCGCCGGUCGGGCAUUAGUCCCGGUUCGUGUCUCGAACCCGGACUAAAGGGUUUGGAGGCUUUAGUCCCGGUUCGUGACACGAACCGGGACUAAAGGUGUUCAGAUUAUUUUUUUCUGUUUUUUAAAUUUUUGUUUGUAGUUUCUGUUUUAAAUUGUUUAUAUCUUUUAGGAUAUUUGAUGUUUUCGAUUGAUCCUUUUUGCAUUACAUUCAAAAUUUUGUCUAGUUUCUGUUUGUGCCAUUAGUUUUCAAAUUUGAAUGGUUUAAAUUUGAAUUUGUUUAAAUUUGCUUCAAACCCAGUUUUUGAAUAACUUGAGUUUACAAAUAGUUUUAAAUUUAAUUCUUUUUGCUCCCAGUCAUGUGUUAGAUUGUUGUCACAGUAAAAUUUAUUUGGUUAUUUUUAGAAUAAUUUAAAUUUGUAUUUUAAUUAAAACAAUAUUGUUUUGCUUAUAUAGUUGUUUUAGUCAUUUAAUUAUUGUUUAUUAUUAUUUUUAGUUAGUUCUUUCUGUAGAUUUUAACAUGUUGUAGUAUGGUGCAUAUUGAAUGCACAAAAAGUCUAGAGUUCAAUUAAUUUUUAAAAAAUGCCUUUGUAGCAGAUGGGUUUUUGUCUGAAACCUUGAUACUUCGAAGGAGAUGAUCCAGUUUGUACACGAAGUGCAUCCAGUUUUUGUCGUAACACACUCAACUUUGUAGCACAUGUCAUCUGGGUGAAAUGAUGAUACCAUAACAAGUUUCAGCCUUUUCAGAGUUCAUUUGUAGCGUUUUUCAAUUUCAGGGUCAUUUAGCUCAAAAAAAUCAUUAAAUGCAUAGGAAAAUAGAAAAUGAGGUGAGAAAGGGUUCAAAAUUUAUGAGGUGGCUUUGAAUGAUGCAUAUUGAACACACAAAAAGUAUGGAGUUCAAAAAAACGAAAUCCCUUUGUAAGAGAUGAGUUCUCGUUCGAAACCCUGAUACUUCGAAAGAGAUUGUCCGUUUUGUACACCAAGUGCAUCUAGUUUUUGUCGUAACUCUCUCAACUUUUUAGCACAUGCCAUGUGGGUGAAAUGAUGCUACCUUGCCAACUUUGAACAUUUUUAGAGUUCAUUUGUAUUGCUUUUGAAUUUCAGGGUCAAUUAGCUCAAAAAAAUAAGUAAAUGCAUGAAAAAUACCAAAUGGAGUCUGAAAAUGUUGAAAAUUUAUGAUGUGCCUUUGAAUGGGGCAUUUUGAACACACAAAAAGUAUGGAGUUCAAGUAAGUUCAAAAGAAUGAAAUCCCUUUGCAAGAGAUGAGUUUUCGUUCGUAACUCUGAUACUUCGAAGGAGAUGGACCAGUUUGUACACGAACUGUAUCCAGUUUUAGCCGUAACCCUCUCAAUUUUUUAGCACAAACUAUGUGGAUGAACUGAUGAUACCAUGCCAAGUUUCAACAUUUCCAGAGUUCAUUAUAGUGCUUUUCAAUUGCAGGAGCAUUUAGCUCAAAAAAAUCAUUAAAUGCAUGAAAAAUAGCAAAUAAAGUUAGAAAGGGUUAACUCUGGCUUGGUUAACCUUAGACGAGGACUCUGGCAGGGACGGUGAUAGCAGAUGUAGUCAACGGGUAUGAUUGGACUCUUGGCUAAAGGGGGAUUCUGAAAUUUUCUAACUCUACCCCCCCCCCCACGUGGACCGUCUUUUUUAGUUUUAUAGAAAAUAAACAAAAAUGAUAAAAUUUUCAAAAAAUAAAAUUCUUUGAGAUGUUGUUAGGUUUUAGUGUCUAGUCGGUAUAGAAAUUUUGAGAUAUGAAUUUUGACCGUUUUUGCAAAAAAGGAAAAAAAAAUGUGAACAGCCAUAACUUUUGCAUACGACGUCCAAAAAAAAGUUUAAUAUAUAAAAAAAACUAGAAAAAAUUGGGACUCGAUUUCACCCGGGCUUGCCCGGUGAAGUUCUCUCACAUGCCCAAACUUCCAAAUGGAAAAAAAAUUAUUUCAAAAAGAAGUUUUUUCCAAAAAAAAUAAGAAAAAUAAUUUUAUUUAAAAACAUUAGGUUGUUUUCAUUGAAAUUCACUAUUAUUGUUACUUACUAAGUUUAUCUUAAUAAUUGUUUGUAAUUUCAAAAAAUUAAAUCAUGUGACAUGGCAUCAANNNNNNNNNNNNNNNNNNNNNNNNNNNNNNNNNNNNNNNNNNNNNNNNNNNNNNNNNNNNNNNNNNNNNNNNNNNNNNNNNNNNNNNNNNNNNNNNNNNNUAGCAGUAGCGUGGGCACCAGCGUUAUUCUAUAACUAAUUUUGAAUUAGCAGUGCGGUUUUGCCCGCUACUGCGUAGGUUGAACCAGCGGUACUAUUCCCUCCGUUUCUUUUUAAUCCGUUAGGAGUACUACCAAUUUUGAUUAAAAAUCAAUCCAUGGCUGGUGCUGCAGGGCAUCCUCGUUCUCUCCAUCCAUAAAUGAUUGAUGUUGAUCCUAGAGGGGAUGCAGCCAUCAAUGGCGAUGGUGCUUCCAUGCCUCACUCGUCCACGUACAUCUCUCCUCUGCUGUUGCUCUAMAAAAAAAAAAGGAAUUAGAAAAGGAAGAAAGAUACUGAGAGGAGUAAGAGGAGCAAGUACCGGAUGGCCGUCGGAUUUGGACCAGACACCCAGUCCUGGCGAGGAGGUGCAAGUGGUUGCAUCCAUAUCCAUGACACUCAGUCCUGGCGAGGAGGUGCAAGUGGGGUUUGCAUCCAUAACGGAUCUUGCCGCCAAGAUGGAUGGUGCUCCCUGGAGGAGGGAGAAGGGAGGGCGGAAGGAUGGAGAUAUACCUCGGUGGAUGUGAGGGCGAGGGUGGGCAACGACCCUCGACGAGGGGCAACGGCGACAGAGGCGGGCGAUGCUGUUGGGCGACGACACCAAGAGCGAGCGAGAGACUGUGAGGGAAGAGUGAGCGAGAGAGAGAGGGAACGGGCGGGGAGGGAGUAUGUGUAGAUAUUUUGGCUGGGAAAGACAACUUAAUAAUAACUAGGGAUAUAAACCCGUUCUACUACUAUCAACUUAGUAGUAGCGCGGGUAUAUAUAAACCCGUUCUACUACUAUCAACUUAGUAGUAGCGCGGGUUUAUACCCCUUGCUACUACUAUGGCCUGUCCCCGGGGGCAUGGUAUAUACCACUUUGUAGUAGCGAGGGGUAUAAACCUGCGCUACUAUUAUUAAUUUAGUAGUAGCGAGUGUCAAUAUAGCGCGUUACUAGUAACUUAGCAGUAGCGGGGGUAUAAACCCGUUUUAUUAGUAAGCGACUACCUAUAAGUUUUUUCCUAGUACUAAGCCUAUGCUCAACAAAUUCAACUGUCAUUUUUCCCUGACGAAGCACAAUUGUCCCUUUUUUUGCAUGGAAAUGGGCAAGAGCACAUCAAACACUAAUAUGAACAUGUAAAAAUUAWUAUUUUMUAAAAAAAAAAAAACAAUGGUUGCCCAUUUGUUUGAAUUUGUUGGUCGUGCCAGUACUAUCACCAUCCAGUUUUUGUUGAGAUCUUUGAGGUGCAGACACUUUGAUCUUGUUUGGGAUCAGGAACUCUUUUCUGGUAAAAGGGAUGUAUUGAAAGUCCCUCCAAAACAAAAAAGAACUGUACUCAAGGUCGGCUGCUAUGUCGCUUCCCAUGUGGUUGAUAUGAUUCCAUCCAGUUGCUGCUUUAUUUCAUUCCAUUUUCUACUCAUUCCAGCUUUAGCAAUUAUUGUUGGUACCAUUGCCCUGUCCACUAGAGAGUGUCGGGCUCGCCCUGGCCCUGGUAGUUGCCUGUUGCCAUCUGCUAAAUAAAUCACAGUAAAUUUGAUGUGAGAUGCCAUAUGCUACACGAAUUAUGCCGAUGACUGAUCCAAUAGGAGCCCCCUUUCAAUUUUUCUCUAUAUUAUGUCGGACUCUUAGGGCUCGUUCGUUAAUCCACUAAUUCCUCCAAAUUUAAGAAUCUACGGAGCAUGUGUACAUCCGCUUCUUAAAUUAUAAGUACAACUUCGUCCGUUUUGAAAAUGGAGCCGCGGAGCCGAAGGACUUCGAACGGUCCUUAAUUGUCUACAUCAUCAUAGCAAUAGAGUUUCGCAAAAAAGAAACAAACAAACAUAGCAAUAGGUUUAUGAUGGGAUACUUUUCGUUGCAAUUAUCCACACAUACCAAUGUUGCUUUUGUAACUUUUUUUCUUUGUGGGGUAAUUACUUUUACAACUCUAAUCACAUGCUUAUGCAUAAGAUUAUGAAAAACGUUUGAAACUAUCCAAAUGAUUUUUCACCUACGUAACCUCCUCUCCCGCGCGACAUGUGGCAUGCUGGGCCCUUCCACCACUUCCCAACCUUAUCUNNNNNNNNNNNNNNNNNNNNNNNNNNNNNNNNNNNNNNNNNNNNNNNNNNNNNNNNNNNNNNNNNNNNNNNNNNNNNNNNNNNNNNNNNNNNNNNNNNNNCACGCACGUGCGAAAUGGAUCAGAUAGAUAGAUUUUGUACUGUAUGUACUGCUGGUGGCAUGCAUGCGUGCAUAUGUUUGCUUAAUUAUAACUUAUAAGUAUGAUUAUGUGUACGUUAUGCUAGUGUCUUAUGAGGUUAAUUCGAGGGAGAAGUUAAGCUGCAUGCACAGGCACUUUCUAAAGAGAGAAACCACAUGCACAAUAAUCUCAUCAACUUGGCUAGUAGCUACCUCCAUACUCAAGGUUAUUUAUGUGUGUAUACAAAUAUACAAUGACUUCUUACUAGCUAGGUCUGUCCGAGGCCGGAAGAUAUGUAUCUUUUAUGAUGGUGUCCACUCGAUUGAAGCAUACAGAAAUGUUUUUCCCCACCCUCGAAUAGGACCUCAUAUAUCCCAGGCUACUUCUUAUUUAUGGUUCCUUUAAAGUGAUGUUUUAAUAAAAAUACAGAUGUGUUGACUGUAUGCAUGUUGUUAAUUACGCUGAGGCCAGUUAUUCGUAAAAAAGUAGCAAAACAAGAGCUAGUGCUGGCCCUUUAAUGCAUGCUUGCAUGCAUAAAAAGACUGGAUUUAUUUGUAUACUCUUAAACCAUGUCUGCUACUCCCUCCGUCACGGUUUAGAAGACACGUUUGAAAAAAUCUCUGGUACCAAGGUAGUCACCGAUUGGUUGUGAGAUGUAGCAGGUGUAGAUGCUAAUGCGCCUAAUCAACUGAAAAAAUACUAGUACUAAUGCGUGAGCAACAAAUUAGGAGGACGCAUGCAUGAGUAGUACUAGUACUAAUUAAUAGGAGUAAUUGCUUUCGCGUUUAAACCUUGUCUAUUUUAAAAACGCACACAAGUUUAACUGUGCCUUCUAAACCGUAACGGAGGGAGUAGCUAGCUAGCUAGCUUUAACUUCUUCCUACGGGUUUAUCGGCAUAUCCCCAGCGAAUCAUUCGAUCCUAUGCACAUACAUAAUUGAGUUGAUGUGCACUGUUUUUUCAAUCUGACCUACGCAAGCAAAUCGAUCGAGUAGUGCAUAGUUCACCAGUACCUUGUACAAAAUCAGAUAUAAUUGAAGAUUAUAUAUAUAGUCGCGCGGCUUGAUGGAAUUCUCCAUAGAUUAAACUAUCCAUAUAAUCGAUCAGGUGAUGGCCCGGUCGUGCAUAUUCUUCUUGUGGAGUAAGAGUAGACGAAAAAGACUUUCUCCAGAGUCUCCAGCGACUUCGGACUACCUAGAGCUUAGCUAAGCCAGUUUAGCACGCAAGCCAAUCAUUCCCAUCACAAGGCACAAAAGUCAAAUCCGGCCUAAAAAGGAUAUAUUAAUGGUGUAAGCUAAUUUCGUCUCAUAGCUAGCGGCAUCGCAAGCAUUUGGUGUUUGGUGACAUGAUCAUGGGUAAAAUUUGUCAUGUAAAAUUUAUGUGACAUCACAUAAUUAAACUAAAUAAUAUAAGGAUAUAUAUGAAGCUUGUAUUUAGAUGAACCAUAAUGCUAUGCACAAGCUCCAAGGUGGAAAUAGAGCAAGCUUUGAUUCUCUCACCAUCUACUGGAACUUAGAUCUUCUACUGUAUCUACUGUAUUAGUCGUAUAAUGAGUAGGGUUUUUGUACCACUCAAUAGCCGUGUUUGUCUAUCACCACACACCCUCCAUCCCCGCGCGCGGGUAGGUUAUUGCUCAUAAAAUCGGCAACGUAUGGUUUAUAAUAAUGUAACAGAGACAUGCAUAAGAUCCAAUGUCAAAAAUGAGAGCAAAUUAACUUAGAAACACUCUGUUGGAGUGGUUGUAUACAGUCGAUGAUAUGAAUAUAUAUAAUUUCUGACAACAUAACACACUAGUUAAUUGAGAUGCUCUGAUGAAGUUGAGGUUUCAUUAUUUGGAUCUAUAUGUCUUUUUUUUGCGGGUAUAUUUGGAUCUAUAAUGUUGUUUGUACUCUAANNNNNNNNNNNNNNNNNNNNNNNNNNNNNNNNNNNNNNNNNNNNNNNNNNNNNNNNNNNNNNNNNNNNNNNNNNNNNNNNNNNNNNNNNNNNNNNNNNNNGAUACCAUGCCAAGUUUCAACAUUUCCUAGAGUUCAUUAUAGUGCUUUCUAAUGCAGGAGCAUUUAGCUCUAAAAAAAUAACAUUAAAAUGCAUGAAAAAUAAGCAAAUAAAGUUAGGUAAAGGGUUAAACGUUCUGGCGUUGGUUUAACCGUUAACGACGGAGGACUCUGGCGAGGGACGGGUGAUAGCAGAUGUAGUCAACGGGUAUGAUUGGACUCUUGGCUAAAGGGGGAUUCUGAAAUUUUCUAACUCUACCCCCCCCCCCACCGUGGACCGUCUUUUUUAGUUUUAUAGAAAAUAAACAAAAAUGAUAAAAUUUUCAAAAAAUAAAAUUCUUUGAGAUGUUGUUAGGUUUUAGUGUCUAGUCGGUAUAGAAAUUUUGAGAUAUGAAUUUUGACCGUUUUUAGCAAAAAAGGAAAAAAAAAUGUGAACAGCCAUAACUUUUGCAUACGACGUCCAAAAAAAAGUUUAAUAUAUAAAAAAAACUAGAAAAAAUUGGGACUCGAUUUCACCCGGGCUUGCCCGGUGAAGUUCUCUCACAUGCCCAAACUUCCAAAUGGAAAAAAAAUUAUUUCAAAAAGAAGUUUUUUUCCAAAAAAAWWAGAAAAAUAAUUUUAUUUAAAAACAUUAGGUUGUUUUCAUUGAAAUUCACUAUUAUUGUUACUUACUAAGUUUAUCUUAAUAAUUGUUUGUAAUUUCAAAAAAUUAAAUCAUGUGACAUGGCAUCAANNNNNNNNNNNNNNNNNNNNNNNNNNNNNNNNNNNNNNNNNNNNNNNNNNNNNNNNNNNNNNNNNNNNNNNNNNNNNNNNNNNNNNNNNNNNNNNNNNNNUCAGGGAGGAGUUGAAAUCUUCAGAAGAUAACCUAGACCUAUGUUCUCAGCUUGGGGCAGUGUUGGGAAUGCUUGGGGAUUGCUGGUAUGACCUUUUUCUCUUGACUACAUCCCCUUCCUAGUGUUUUCACUAUGGCAACCUAAGAAAUAAACUGCCGGGAGAAAACUGGGAUUAGGUAAAAAAAAUCUGUGCCACUAGAAAUUCUAUUAAAUGGCUGUUUGUUGUGGUGUGCCCUAGAUCUCCUGAAAAUUAGAAAAUAUAGGUUCAGUUCUUUGUGUCUGCUCUGCAUAACCCAUUCUAGUUUAAGUCAACAAAUCUGCAAGAAUUCCCUGUGGAUAUUCUUGCUUGAUAUUUAGCUGUAUAUUCCAAUCUGGUUUCUUGCUUGUGUCUAAACCUCUUUAUUAGUAUGAGGCCCACUUGUUUGCUUCAGUCAGUACUUUACACAAUGAAUCUCGGUUAUUCAUUAAAAACCCUCUUUCCAUUAUAGUAUGGUUUCAACUGUUAGGCGUGGUUUAUUGAACCGGAUCUGUUACAUUGAACAGACAGAUGAAUGGCAGUGUAGUUUGCCUUACAUGGUAUUAUUUGACAAUCUUACAACUGUUGGGUAUAGGUCACUGAUCUAGCAACUUCUCAUUCUGAAAACAGCCCUUAGUUUCUUAUCCAUGUAUCCUAGUACCUGCAUGUUCUGAGCCUUGUAAUGUGAAAUGUGGAAAUCUCGUCAUAGCUAAGUUCAUUUCUCUUAAUUGGAGCAUUGGACAAUGCUGUACUCAUAUGCAUGUUUACUUUGGAAUGACACAUCACAUAUCAGUAAUUUUGCAAAUGCUUAAUAUCACUAGUGAAAAUGUUGCUGUUAUUAAUGCGCAAUAUUUUUUUUUUUGCAUCGGAUUCCACUAACCAAUAUUAUGUCGUACUUCCUUCAUUAUACUCAUUAGACAUUAUAACAGUGAGACACAGUGACCUUAUUUGCUUAUUUAGUUGAUAAGCAAACUCAUUGCUUACUGGUUUCUGCCUGCUCCUCAUCACGGGACUCUGUUUUUUCAGUCGGACCUUGGGAGAUGCGCCCUCAGCGAUUAAAUACUACGAAGAAAGUGCUGAGCUUCUGUCGAAAUUGCCCAAAAAGGAUCUUGAGGUUGUAUUCUAGUUUAGUGUCAUACAGUCUUAACAGUAAAAAUCUUUGUCAAUUGAGUCUUUUGGUUUCUUCUACAGUUGGUCCAUACGCUCUCAGUUUCGCUUAACAAAGUUGGAGACCUUCGCUACUAUGAUGGGGACCUACAAUCCGCAAGAAGUUAUUAUGCCCGUUCAUUAGAUGUUCGCAGAAAUUCAGUGAAGGAACACUCAGCUGUGGCCUCCAGGUGAUUGCAGUGCUCACAUGCCGUCAUGUAAUUCAUUAAAAAUCAUGAUUAAGCAUCAACACAAACAACAUAGAUAGUUUCUUCAAAUAGAAAUGUCCUUGCGUGUCCUUUUUUGNNNNNNNNNNNNNNNNNNNNNNNNNNNNNNNNNNNNNNNNNNNNNNNNNNNNNNNNNNNNNNNNNNNNNNNNNNNNNNNNNNNNNNNNNNNNNNNNNNNNCCAACCAUCGACCAUGAGUCUCAUCGGCAUGAAGAAGACGCUAGCUUCUACAUGGGCACGACGCCAAAGGGGGAGAAGGACCAACUGGAUCAUGCAUGAGUACAGGCUCAAGAGCGGCAAGCAGCCAUCACCCGAUCGUGCCUAGCGACAUCACCAAUGCCACAAUCAUUAACACAUCUUCCAAGGUAUUUAAAACUGGAACUAGUAGUAGAAAUAUACUAUCCAUGUUAAAUUUGCAUUGAUUUAUUUUAUGUUAUGUUUGUAGGAGGACUAGUGUGGUUUGCAGGAUCUUCCAUAAGAGCACUGGACUAAAGAAGGUGGUUAUGUCAUCGUACACCAUGCCCAUGCCCAUGCGUGUGGGGGUAGCAGAGCACCAACAUGGCUUCCUCGAAUCCUUUACAUUGCCUCCGCUCAUGGACUACAAUGCAUCAUCAUCGUUGACGCCACCUUUGUCACUGCCUGCAGCUUCUUCGUACCAGCUACAAGCCACCAGGCCUGCCGCAUUGAUGAUGGAUGACACAUUGCUCCCGAUGAUGAAUGGUGACUACAUUGGUAACCACCACCACCAGAUGUUGGUUGCCCCACCACAGCCGUUGAUACCGUUCUACCACCACCACGUGGAGCAACAACAACACCCGAUGAUGCAGAUGCAGAUUAUGGAAAUGGAGAUGAGUGCGGACCAGGGCUUCAUGGUCGGGAUUGAGCCUGGGAGCGAACCUUCGUCCAUAGUAUCACAGGAGGAUGUCAUGAUCGGGCUAAAAAACAAUGACUUGGGCAACGGCUCCACAGCAACCCCCGACGAGAUCUCGUCGGUGAACAUGGGUAUGGAUGGCAUGUGGUAGUUCUGAUGAUUAGAUUAUCCAAUAUAACAUAUGUGUGUGUGUGUGUGCAUGCAUGCAUGAAUUAAUCAUCCAUGAGAAGAUGAGUGAUAUAUACCAACAUGUGUAUUGGUUUGUACCUUAAUGUAAUUUUUAGCGUGAUCAAAAGAGAGUUUGUAUGCAUUGCUUGACUUGCAUUGCAUCUCUUGUGCUAAUAUUGUCUGUAUGUGUGCUGGCUUGUAUGUGCUGUAAAAUACCUCGUAGUGUGUACAUCAUGCGUGUUUUAAAACUAUGUGGAAUGAACUGUUUUGUUAAUUAUGAAUAUUUGGUUCCAUUUUGAAAGUUUAAAAAAUGCAUUGCAUAAUAUUUUUUAUAAACUUGGUAUAUAUUGCCCACUCUCCCCCCCUCUCUUUCCCGCUCUCUGUCAAACACAGAAUCACAUCUUGUGUGUGCUUAAUUUAACUUAUUGUAAUGAAGGUAAUUUUUUGAGCCAUCAAAAAAUUAAUUUUUGUGUUGUUGCUAUGUUUGAUUUUCAAUGUUUCUUCCAAUCCAUAUUAAAUCCUCCACCUACCCUCUUGCAAUCUAUGCCCNNNNNNNNNNNNNNNNNNNNNNNNNNNNNNNNNNNNNNNNNNNNNNNNNNNNNNNNNNNNNNNNNNNNNNNNNNNNNNNNNNNNNNNNNNNNNNNNNNNNGGACUGUGCAUACACGAAGCCAGCCACGCUCGACGGCGGUUAUGGGACACGCGCCACUUUGUAGCCCGCAUUCUUGGUGUGCUCUAUCGCGUUAAGUAGCAUCAUAUCCUCCUCCUAGACACAUUCUGGUACGGGGAACGACCCUAGAGGCGAUAACACGAGCGGGGGCACGAGGACGGACGGUGGUACCACGAGGAUGAUAGACUCAUCGAAGGCGGAUCCCAGUUGUAAGACCUCAUGGGAGAGAUCAUAGAUACCAUCGGUAGUAGGUGACGACUGAAGUGCAAUAUCAAGGUGGAGCCGGCAACAGCGUUGAUCUGCCCCUGACUAUCGGUCCAUAAAGGGACGAGGGGAAGGUCCUUCCCAGUCGACUCCCUAUGGCAGGCACUGCGGGCGGCAAGUCGCUGGAGAAUACAGACCCUCCGCUCGCCGGCGACGGAGCUAGUCCGAGCGCAUUUGAGAGAUGCGACGUGCAAGCUGCAUCUUCCGACAACCUUCCACAGCGGGAUAUGAGUCUACAAGGUGCGUUUGCGAAGCUCGGAUUUGUUUUUUUUUGGUGGGGUAGAGAGCAACAAUGAGUGAGAUUGAGCGGGAGAGGGGAAGGUUGACUAUUAUAUUGUGUGAGAUGGGGAAGGGGAUUUCAGACAAGGAGGACCCACACAUCAGCGAGAGAAAUCGCAAAGGAAGGGGACACUACCGGCGUGAUAACCAAGGCCCGCGGCAACACUACAACACUAGCGAUGUCGGUUACAAAGUCAGCGCCAUUAUGGUGCACCUAUCUACUACCCCUAUAAAAGGACGAGGGGGUGAUAACCCAUAAGUAUAGGGGAUCAAUCGUAGUCCUUUCGAUAAAUAAGAGUGUCGAACCUAACAAAGAGCAAAAGGAAUUAUAAGCAAUUUUAGCAAGGUGUUCUCUGCAAGUGCUGUAAGUAAGAGUAAUAGAUAGUUUUGUAGCAGGAUAAUGCGUAACAAGUGACAAGUAACAAUAUUAGCAAGUAUGCAACAAGAUAGCACAAUAUUUUUUAUAGCAAAGGACAUGCCUGAAAGUACUCUUAUAUGAAGCAAGCGCUCCCGAGGACACAUGUAGAAUUUCUAUCUAGUCAUGUUCAUCAUGUUUGAGUUGAUUCACGUUCGUACUUUGAUAAUUUGAUAUUUGGGUGACCGGGUCUAAGGUGUUGCUCUUACUUGAACAAGCGACCCACAUAUUAUUACCCCCUCUCGCAAGCAUCUGCAACUACGAAAUAAGAAUUAAGAUAAAUCUAACCAUAGUCUUAAAAGUGUGGAUCCAAAUCAGCGCAUUAUGAAGCAACACAUAAACUGAGAUUUAAGCUUCUCUCACUCUCGCAACCCAUCAUCUACUUGUUACUCCACAGUGCCUUACCUUAAUCCCAUAACAUNNNNNNNNNNNNNNNNNNNNNNNNNNNNNNNNNNNNNNNNNNNNNNNNNNNNNNNNNNNNNNNNNNNNNNNNNNNNNNNNNNNNNNNNNNNNNNNNNNNNGUUUGCUUGCACACUGACGGUCAUCGAAAAGUUGGGAUGGAUUUUGAGACCCCUCUUUUCCCUGCUCAUCAGCUUAUUGAUUGAUGAUGCCAGGAGGCAGGAGCUCUUUUGUUWGAAUAAAGACUCUCUGAACUGGAACAACAAAAAARRACACAACCAUUACAAAAWWGAUUGUGACAUUUACAAAAGUAUUCACGCUCUUCAAACAUAUGUUCACAACAUUUUCAGGAAAUGUCUAUACAACAGUAAAGAAAGUUAUGUAACUUCAAAUAAAUUGUACUACCCAUUAAAAAACUUUGUGUCAUCAUAAAAAAGGUUCACACGUUUCAAAAACAUGUUCGUAUUGUUUUUCUACAUAUGUUCGUACCAUUCAAAAAAUGUUUGUGACAUUGAGAAAAAUGUGCAUGUGUUUCGGAAAAAAUGUUGUUGAUUUUUUUAUACAAAUGUAAAAAAAGUUUAGCUUAGUUUAGAAGAAAAAAUAUUAUACCAUAAAAAUAUGAUCAAAUAUGUAUUCCAAAAAAGUUGGACACGUAUUCAAAAAAAAUGUUCAAAGCAUUUAAAAAAAACUAAUGUGUAUCAAAAAUAGUUGCUGAUGUACACAAAAAUGUACAACAUAUAUGAAAAAAUAGACAUGUAUUGAGAAAAUGGGGAAAUAUUAAACGUAUACGAAAUAGACAUCUAUUGUGGCAGUUCAAGACAAUAAUCGUAGUCGUCAAAAGGUUCUUCCUUUGCGACAGCAAGAACAACUUGGUGGGUAAUUUGUCAAUUCUUAAAGCCAUUCAUUCACCAUCACUUGAUUAAUUUGUAACUCAGCUAAUUAGCCACUAGCUACGACUAACAUCACUUGCAUAGCUUGUGGGGCAUCACUUUGCUUUCAGCACAAGAAAGUACUUAUAGUUAAUAAGUUAUUUGAGCUAAGUAGCAAUCCAAUGUGCGACGUGGAGUUUCUCAGCCCGCGCUCAACUGAGCUCGAAUGAACAGUAAAAGUAAAGUGAGAAAAACUGCGGCAAACCUAUUUAGCGUGACAGGCAUUGCUUAAAGGAAAAAGUUGCUAACCGGCGCCUGCAGGGCUCCGUAAUGGGCGGGCCCAUGUUGAGAUCCUUCAUGAACUUUUUUAGCCUGUGAAAUGUUUUAGCCCGUGAUCUUUUUUGAAAUCGGUAAACUUUUUGAAAAUCAAUGAUAUUUUUUGGAAAUUCAUGAACAUUUCUGAAAAUCAAUGAACAUAAUUUAAAAUUCAUGAUUUUUUCAAAAUCAGUGAAAUAUUUUAAAAAUUGAUGAACUUUUUCAAAAUCAGUGNNNNNNNNNNNNNNNNNNNNNNNNNNNNNNNNNNNNNNNNNNNNNNNNNNNNNNNNNNNNNNNNNNNNNNNNNNNNNNNNNNNNNNNNNNNNNNNNNNNNCGCUCACAUCGACGCCAUUCCUUUUUAUUCCAGAACAUUCAGUACUUGCUUAUUAUUAGACCGCGCGCUGUUUGAACCAACAAACUUCAGCACAUGCAUCGUUCCUGCCAUCAGUACAAGACACAAAUCAAUCCUCAAAUUGUAACAGAAAUACCUUGCAUCUACUAUUCUACUUUGUGUUUUGAGCGGGUACGUCWWUUUGCAUGAGAUGAAAUAAACAAAUGUCAGUUAACUAAUCGAACUGUUCUAGUGAAACUGAACUGGAGCAACAGGAAAUUAAUACUCCCUAUGACGUCUUAUAUUAGUUUACAGAGGGAAUACACGGGCAAGCGCAGGAGAUAGAAUAGAAGAACUUACACCAGGCAACGAUCUUCCAGCGCUGGUUGUCGCCCUCAGUCCACUCCCACAGAAUGAGGGUGGUUCCAUCGCGCACACCGCCAUGGUCCUUGUCGCCAUGGAGCGCAUCAAAGUUCAAGUAGAUGUUGUUCACCAUCCUGAUGCAGCGGUAGCCUGCCCCAACAUCCCUGCUCUCGGUCCAAAGGACCGACUCGUCCAGGGUGUCUGGAUUGUACCUGGUCAGAAGAACCUAGGAUCCAAGAAACAAACCAGAAGGUGAGCAAAUUCACCAUACUAGAGGAGCUGCACUGCAGGGUUGACUAAUCUGGAAGGCCAUAACAGAUCACAGUCACAGCAGGCACACUUGUACUUUUUUUUUUCUUACAAAAUUUGCUGAAAAUGACACGCGUGGAAGUAUUGUUAUAGUUAUGGUCUUGCGUGGAUGGUAAUGUGAAACACCGUUGCAGGUUCAAGUUUUUGACACUGACAAAAUUCGAAACGUUUGCUGAACAUGACACCUAGUACUAGGCAAAUAUUAUUCCGAAGAACAGGGAGAAUUAUAACUCAUGCUGGACUAGUUUAUAUCAUUCCAGACAAAAAAUCAUUAAAUCCUAGUAGUGAUUAUUCACUGAGAAUACCACAUGUCACACCGCCAAUAAGCUCAAAGUGCUUUUGUUCACUCAAGCUUUGCCAAUUCUGUUUUUCAUACGCAGAAGAAUGCAGAGAAAGUGGGCWWUUGGAAUGUGUGGUAUAUGGUGUGCUUGCAGAUGCUCUGAUAUAGAGAUAUGUCUAAAUUUGCCAAAACCAUGUACUAAGAUCCACCGUGCACGCAUGCAUCGGAUAGCAAAAUUAAGAUGAAUGAAUGGAUGAAUGAGCUGAAGCAAGGAGGCUGGGUUACAGGGGUGGGACGUGGCCGAGGGAGUGCUUGAGAGCCUCUCCGNNNNNNNNNNNNNNNNNNNNNNNNNNNNNNNNNNNNNNNNNNNNNNNNNNNNNNNNNNNNNNNNNNNNNNNNNNNNNNNNNNNNNNNNNNNNNNNNNNNNAAAUAUACCCCUAGCUUCUUGUAUGAUAUUACUAAAUUCUUGACAAAGGAACAUAGUAGCUAGACGUUUAGUGGAAGCUUCAUGGAUAUUAGAGAAUUCUAGGAACGACCAUUGUAUAAAAGGAUGCAUGUGCACAAACUGUCUCUCCAAUUGUACUAUAAGUAAAGAUAUGGUAUCCACAUAACUUUUAAUUCUAGUAAAGAUAUGGUAAUGAUCCCAUACAAGUGAAAAAAUCUUGGAUCACAUUCUUUCCAAUAAUAUUACCACUUCCUAUGCAGAGUUUCUUAGUUUAAAUAAUAGGUUCCACCUUAGGGGAAUCAUCAUUCGCAAGAUUAUCAAGUUUUUCAUUAGGAACUGAGUAAAUUGCACGGAAGUACCACAAUUGAGGCAUUAGAAGCAGAUUGGUACCAAGUUUGGUAAUUUUUCCGUGUCACUACCAUGUCUGGGGCAAGUACAUUGCAAAAGGACUAAAACUGAGGUUUAUACGUAUUGGCGGUGUAUCUAACCGGUUGGGCCCGCCCGUCAGGUGCCGACAUGGCAAGUUUUUUUUACAAAAAACCGUCUUUAGCUUUAUACGUAAUCAUAUGAAUGACCUUUAUUUCAUUAGGAUUUUUUUGUUCAUAAUUUCUCAACACUCCGAAUCGGGCUUUUUUGAAAGUUUCCAUCGAAGUGCAGAAUUAAAUAAAAGAAACGAGCGCUGGCAUGGAUCGAACCCACGACCUCCAGGACCGACGCCCUCACCACCGCGCUACGGAGGAACUAGCAUCUAUGUACCGGCGGUACCCUUUUAUACAAGAAACAAAUACUGGGCCGGCUAGUUAGGCCGAGGUUCAGCGCGCGCCUGUUGGGGCAUAGUUUAUGCCUAAGUAAUUUGGUGAUUGAUGACAGUACCGCAAAGGGACUAACCGUGUGUGAUUAAGAUUUCAGAUAACACACGUCAAUGGCACAAGACGACUCGCCCCCUCGUUCGUGGAACAGAAGGCCGGCGUUCUCUACGAUUCUCUUUAUUUGAGUCAUAGGAAAGCUGUACUAUUAAGAGGGGAACCGUAGUGGAAAGGUUUGGGUGGAAUCAAUCUUUGCACGCGCACACUUCACAUAUUUUCCCCUUGCCAGCUUCUUUGGAGUGGCUCCCGCCUUUGUGUUUCCCUCUUCUUUNNNNNNNNNNNNNNNNNNNNNNNNNNNNNNNNNNNNNNNNNNNNNNNNNNNNNNNNNNNNNNNNNNNNNNNNNNNNNNNNNNNNNNNNNNNNNNNNNNNNCCAUACUGCCUCGUACAAGAAGGCGAAGGUAUUCUCUGAGUCUGAUCUGGAUGAUCCAAAUAACUUCACCAACAUAUCAUCCCACCACAAGCUCGUGACAUACAGGGACACGGGGAAGGCUACGAAAGGGGAUGACUUUAACCCGAACCAGGAAACUUUGGAUCCAGAGCUGGUGAUGAUAUCUGGUGGCGGGAGGCCCGAUGGCUCAAUAGCCAUUGGAGAUGGGAUAAUAUGUUGUCCACUCACUCUCCCGGAGGUCAAGGCGUGCCAGUCGAGAAACUGUCCUGAGAUAACGCGCCGUCCACGGCCAGUCAAUCUUGCCAUCGAGGUUAGUUGUACGGACUCAGAAAACUUUCAUCCAUUUCAUUAUGUGUGUUGCCAUAGAUCAUUACUGUGGUAACGAGGAAUGGUGUUUCAGUCUGCUCUUCAAAAACAGAGAGCGGCAAACCAGGCUGCUCUUGAGAAAGAGAGAUUGGCAAGCCAGGCUGCUCUUCAGGCUGGUCUUGAUGAGAGGGACUAGACCACGACACGAUUGAUUGAGGAGGAGAGGGCCCAGAAUGAGGCGGGUCAAUGGGCCCUGUAUGAGCUUUUUGUGGUAAGUUUUUUCACAUUAGCCAAAUCAUGUGUGUAAUGUCUAUUUCAUUACUAACUAAUAUGACCCACUCUUCAGGGUCUAUGCGAGAAGAGCGGUCAAGUCCCUCCGCCGAUGCCCAUCUUCUCUUCGAUUGUCAUGGUGAGUUUCAUUAUAAACUAGUAUUAAUAAUUGAGUGUCAUCAUCCUAACUGAGACAUUGCAAAAAUAUCUUUUCUGCAGAAUAACUCCCGAGCGGCAUCGCACGACCCUUCUCCAGGUGUUUCUCCUCCUUGAUGACCACUACGGUAAGUUAUUCUUCUCCUCUUUCAUAUUCUCCUUGCCUUAAUUUCCCCAACAAUGACAUAAUUAGCCCAUUUAGCUCCAAAAUGCCAUAAUAACCUCAAAAUGGCACAAGAACCUUGGUUAGCUCAUUAAUAUUAUAUACUUAGCUUGUUUUCCUCUAAAAAUGGGAUAAUUAGCCCAUAUAGCUCCAAAAAAGCAAUAGUUAGAUAAUUGAGCUCCAAGAAGAGGAGAAGAGGAGNNNNNNNNNNNNNNNNNNNNNNNNNNNNNNNNNNNNNNNNNNNNNNNNNNNNNNNNNNNNNNNNNNNNNNNNNNNNNNNNNNNNNNNNNNNNNNNNNNNNGAAUGGCCUUAAGAGUUGACCAAUUACUCACCAAGUUGUUCUUGCUGCCACAAAGGGAGAACCUUUUUGACGAUUGGGAAAACUGUUUUUAGCUGCUACUCCCUUGCAUUUUAGUUGAUCUUUAAUUUAACUAAGUAAAUAAUAAGUUAUACUCUAGGUCAAAAUUAAAGUAUACCACACACUAGUAGAAAAAGGGCCUUUAGCCCCGGUUCGGUUGGGUCAUUAGUCCCGAUUCACGAACCGGGACUAAUGCUAGCCCCGGUUCGGCCCCGAACCGGGGCUAAUGUCCUUCCACGUGGCGGGGCUAGGAGCGAGGGGGGAGGGGUAUUAGUCCCGGUUCAUAUUACGAACCGGGGUUAUUUCAUCGCAGUUUUUUGAGCAAUUUUGGGUUUAGGGUUUUGCACUAAAUUGGAUGGGCUAUUUUGCUGCCCCCUAUUUUCUCAUUUAUUUGUUACAUAUAUAUUGCACAACUCACGAAUAUAUUACACCAUCUCAUCCGUCGUGCUUUGUCGAACAUAUUUACAAAAUGUAGACAUGAGUUACAUGCACAUAUAUGCAUUCUUUUUACACUAUAUGAUUUCAUAUCAUUUCCGUCGAAUGGCAAUAGUAUUCUAAUCGAUCAUCUAACAACUCAUCAUCAUCUUAAUCAUAUGCCAAGUUAUCAUAUGAUACACAUAAAAUAAAACAGAGAAACAUCAUAAUAGUCAUCAUAUGCAUGCAUCCUAAUCGAUCAUCUCAAGUAAUAAUAUAAACCAGAAUAACUUGUCUCUCAUAAGACCUACUCCUCGCUCUUAGGUAUAAUGUCAUAAAACCAGAAUAAUACCUAUGUUUCCAUGAUGAAUCACAGAGAUCCAACGGUCUCCAACUUGUGGCUCGCGAACCUUCUUUAUUUCUCUCCAUGCUUCAAUUUGAAGCCUUUUUUUAUCUUUGAUUUUGAGGUUACUCGAGUAUGGAGCAUCGAACUCAGCCCUCAACGGGCUUCUAAUUUUCAUUUGACCUUCUGGGAGCAUCAUCAGAGGCACUACAUCAUUUGGCAGUUGCUGCUGAGAACAUAAUAAUACCUAAGUUGCAAUGUAAUCAACACUAUUUAUGCAAUAGUACAGCGUACUUAANNNNNNNNNNNNNNNNNNNNNNNNNNNNNNNNNNNNNNNNNNNNNNNNNNNNNNNNNNNNNNNNNNNNNNNNNNNNNNNNNNNNNNNNNNNNNNNNNNNNGAUCCCAUAUUGAUAGUUUUUGACGAACUUUUUUUCAUGAAAAAACCAGAAGAAGAAAACCGUGCCUCACCCGAUAGAAAAAAAAAUCAGAAAACACAUUUUUCCCUUUCCGAGAGGCACGGACGUGCCUCUCGCGAAGGCAAAACCAUGCCUCUCGCGGAAGCAAAAUCGUACCUCUCGCGAAAAAAGAAAGCAUAAAACACAUUUUUCCUUUUUCGGGAGAGUCGCAAAGGCAAAACCGUGCCUUUCGGGGAAGCAAAACCGUGCCUCUACAGAAAAACAGAAAAUACGUAUUUUUCAUUUCGAGGCACGGGCGUGCCUCUCGUGAAAACAAAACCUUGUCUUUCGCGAAAGCAAAACCGUGCCUCUUGCAAAAAAACAAAAAACCAGUUUUUUUCCCUUUUCAAGAGGCAUUGCCUCUCGCAAAUGCAAAACCGUGCCUUUAAAAAACAAAAACAUGUUUUUUCUUAAAAAAACAGAAAACAUGGAUUUUUUCGGGGAAAAAAAUUCUGCCCAAAAGUUACGAAAGACCGGUGGAAAAUCAAAACACCAAAAAACCGUAAAAACCAUUCUAAAAACCAAAACACGCCCAUUUUUUUAAAAAACAAAAUACAAAGAAAACGUCCAGAACGCGAUACAUGAAGAUGAUUGAAAACACGCUAAGUGGCGACGCGCGAGGGUGGAAGGCUGCGUUCGCUAGUUGCUGAACGGCGUGAGGCCGAAGCCCAUGUGAUUAUUCAUUCGGUCCCAGGUCGGUGGACCCCAGCCCACCCACCACCCACCAGUCAUCCAUCGCCUCUCCCCCUCUCCUCUUGCUGGUGUCGUGUCGGAGGGAAAAGAGAGCUCUGCACCUGCACCUGCACCCACAUCCGCCAUUCGAUUUCCUUUGCUCCUAUCCAUCCGCCACAAGACACCACAAGCCCCGCCGCCUCCGUCGCCGUCGUCGCCGCCCGAUCCAACCGCCCGCCGGCCCGCCAGCCCCCACGCACCGGUAAGCGCCGCCAGCCCCCCUCCCCCUCGANNNNNNNNNNNNNNNNNNNNNNNNNNNNNNNNNNNNNNNNNNNNNNNNNNNNNNNNNNNNNNNNNNNNNNNNNNNNNNNNNNNNNNNNNNNNNNNNNNNNAUGGCUCUGUUAGUCCGUAUCCCGGUUGGGUACUUGUGGUCCUUCUCGGAGAAAAAGUACCACUCCUUCUCCCCCAUGAUUGCCAUAUUGGGGAGUUCCCACGGCUCAUGCUUGUUCAGAUCCACCUCCGUGACUACCCUGGUGUCGAAGGGUUUCUUCAACACCUUGGGUACUAGGUAGGAAGUAAUGAUCUCCACAUCCGUCGGGUGAAACCUGAACCCCGGCGGUAGGUGCAACUCUUGUUGUUGCUGAACUUGAAGGUAGUCUUCCAUGGUAGAGGUUCUCUGAAUGGGUCCAAUGGGGGUGACAAAAAKUGKGGGGGGGGGAKUGAUAUAUAUGUGUGUAACAAUGGAAGGAAUUCAAUGACAUCUAGAAAUAUGAGAGGAGGUACUUAAAUAGUAGUGGAUGCGUGUACCGGGAAGACACUUGCCAUAGAAGCUUCAAACUUUUUUGGKCUUUUUUAGUUUGGUCUUAUUGGCGGUGUACGGAUAGAUGCUAAGCUAGCCAGAUAGAUAGAGAUAGUUCCUCAUCUUUACAACUGUGUCUUGCUUAUCGUAUUGUGAGGGACAUGGCCAGGUGGUGACAUCUGCUAGGUUUCUCGAACCUCUCCAAGCCAUGCCAUGCCAGAUUGAACACUUUUGGUUUUGUUCCCAUUCUUGUUAAUGUAUGCAUAUGCGCUCGUCAUGCUACCCUCUACUCAUCCCAUUUGCAUAAAAAAUGUGUGCUUCUAUUGCUGUUGCGUGGCUUUGUGAUGCAAAGUAAACAAAUGUUGUUUUAUAUGUAUAACCUAUGUAUACAUUCCACCAUAUGCAUUCAUAUCUAUAUAUAGCCUCUAGUAAAAUCUACUAGUUUACAUAUUCCAUCGUCUGUAUGCAUCCAAAUACUAUAUAUAGCUUUUACGAGUUUACACAAAANNNNNNNNNNNNNNNNNNNNNNNNNNNNNNNNNNNNNNNNNNNNNNNNNNNNNNNNNNNNNNNNNNNNNNNNNNNNNNNNNNNNNNNNNNNNNNNNNNNNAAGCAGUGGAUCAAAAGGUAUAUCGCUCCAUGAUUGGAUCCCUCCUUUACCUUUGUGCAUCUAGACCGGAUAUUAUGUUGAGUGUAGGGAUAUGUGCACGGUUUCAAUCCGCACCAAAAGAAAGUCAUUAUAUGGCUGUUAAGCGAAUCUUUCGAUAUUUGGCUCAUACCCCAAACUUUGGUCUUUGGUAUCCCAAAGGAGCAAACUUCAAUCUAGUUGGCUAUUCUGACUCAGAUUGGGCAGGAGAUUGUGUGGAGAGGAAGUCAACUUUUGGAGGAUGCCAAUUCCUUGGUCGCUCAUUGGUAAGUUGAUCUUCAAAGAAGCAGAAUUGCGUCUCUCUAUCAUCCACCGAAGCUGAGUAUGUGGCAGCUGCAAGUUGUUGUGCAAAAUUGCUAUGGAUGAGGCAAACUUUAAAGGAUUACGGUGUCACUUGUGACAAAGUGCCUCUUCUAUGUGACAAUCAAAGUGCUAUCAAGAUUUCCCCUCAACCCAGUGCAACAUAGCAAAACCAAGCAUAUUGAUAUUCGCCAUCACUUCAUUCGUGAACAUAUCAAGCUAGGUGAUAUUGAGGUUCAUUUCAUCCACACCGAAGAGCAACUUGCAGAUAUUUUCACUAAGCCUCUAGAUGAAGCAAGGUUCCGGGAUUAAGGCAUGAGCUAAAUAUCAUUGAUUCAAGUAAUGUGGAUUGAAGCUAGGCAUGUUGCACCUCACUAUGCAUUCUAUCUUGGUCUAGAUGUAGGCAUGGACAUAGGGGGAGUGUUGUUCUCUCAAUGAACCUUUUCUCCCCCCGAUUACUGCAUAAAUCGAUCUAGUCUUUCACUUUAGCAAUUGCCAAAUGGCACUUGUGCUUCNNNNNNNNNNNNNNNNNNNNNNNNNNNNNNNNNNNNNNNNNNNNNNNNNNNNNNNNNNNNNNNNNNNNNNNNNNNNNNNNNNNNNNNNNNNNNNNNNNNNUCAUGAAUAACCUGAACAUAAACCCACAAUUCAUCGGAUCCCAAGAAACACACCGUACAAAAGAGUUACAUCGUAUGGAUCAAAGCGAAGAUGCGAUGAUCAUUGUAUUGAAGAUCAAAGAGAGAGGGAUAUGCCAUCUAAGUACCGUUAUGGAACCGUAGGUCUAUGGUGAACUACCCAGGCAUCAUCAUGAGGGCAUCAAGGUUGAUGAAGAAGUCCUCCAUGAUCGACCCCCCCUCCGACAGAGUGCCGGAACAGAGCUCUAGAUGGCCUCCCAUCGGAACACAGACUUGCGGCGGCGUAAAAAGUAGCUUCAGGACCGCCUGUGGAGUUUUUAGGGUAAAUAGGAAUUUAUAAGCUAGAGAACAGGGUCGUGAAUUUAUAAGCCCUGAUGGCUUGUGGGGGCCUCCUGUGCAUCUUGGCCUUCUUCCAAUGCUCCACGGUCUUCUUUUGGUCCAAACAAUUACAAAAGUUUCAGGUAAAUUGGGCUUCGUUUGGUAGCGGAACCUGAAAAGUGGAAAACAUGCACAAAAACAACAAUUGGAACUUGGUGCUGGGUCAAUAGGUUAGUGCUAAAAAUAAUAUAAAUUGGUAGAUAAGUGCCUAAAAAGUGUUCUAAAAUUAUAACAUAAUAGUAUGUAACAAUCAAAAAUUGUAGAUACGUUGAAGACGUAUCAGGAGACCUGCUGGGCCCCCACAAGGCAACAGGGCGCGCCCGGGGGGGGGGGGGACCCGUGUUGGGUUGUUGCCAGCAGGUGGCCCCCGCCUGGUAUAUAUUUUCCCCAAUAAUUCUUAUAUAUUCAAUAAAUAUUCUCCGUGAAGNNNNNNNNNNNNNNNNNNNNNNNNNNNNNNNNNNNNNNNNNNNNNNNNNNNNNNNNNNNNNNNNNNNNNNNNNNNNNNNNNNNNNNNNNNNNNNNNNNNNUGCUAUUGCUGUGGCACUCAAGGAUCAUGGGAGCAAGGAUGUGGAUGAUACAUGGGUCAAGCACAAGUUUCUCAAAGCCAUCAUGCCUUUCACAAAGCCAUGUCAUUUGUCAUUCGUCAGCGGCCAGACUUCCACUCCUUGUCUUCCAGUGAGGUGUUGGAUGAAUUCAUUGCAAUGUCAAUCAUGAACGAAAUAGCCGACAAUGCACUUGCUCGUGUUCGCUCAAAUACAAACUUCACCCAACCUUGCACUAAAAGCAAAAAGCAAAUGUUUGAAGAAGAAGAAGAGGAUGAGGAAGAGGAGAGCUGCCCUGAAGACACAAAGUACGCCUAUCAUGAGCACAUAGCUCUUGCGUCAAGGCAAUUCUGGGGCAACAAGAGGAACUCAAGACCCACCUUCACCAAGAACAACUCGAGUGGUUUCAAACCCAAGCAACGAGUGAGGACAUGUUAUAACUGUGGUAACGUGAGCCACUUCGUGGCCGAAUGUCCCUAUGAGAAAAGGGAAGAUAACGGGGGCAAGCUCAUUCGCAAAGACAAAACCAAAUCAUUUCCAAUCAAGAACAACUUUGUGAAGAAACCCCACCCAAAAGGGAUGGUGGCCCUUGCAGAGUACCCUUCCGAUGAUAAUGAUGAUGAUGAUGAUGAUGCAGUGGCAACGACAACUGUUGCUAUUGCCACUACCUCUCCCCAGAAGGUGUCUCUCUUCAACGCCCCCAACGAGAACCACAUCACCAAGUGCCUCAUGGCAAAAGGUAUCAAUCAGGUAACUCCNNNNNNNNNNNNNNNNNNNNNNNNNNNNNNNNNNNNNNNNNNNNNNNNNNNNNNNNNNNNNNNNNNNNNNNNNNNNNNNNNNNNNNNNNNNNNNNNNNNNUGUUGUGGGGGUCGCUUCUCCUUCUUCUCCUUGGGCUAGAUAUUUGUUAUGCACUAGGGGAAGAAGGAGUAGCGGCCAUCAUCGACGGUGGAAAAAUCAGGUGAGGGAGUGUCCACCAUAUUUGGGAGAAUAAGAAUGCCAACUGUUGUUGUGGGGUUGCUUUGCCUUCUUCUCCUUGCGCUAGAUAUUUGUUAUGCACUAGGGGAAGAAGGAAUAGCGACCAUCAUCGACGGUCGAAAAAUCAGUGAGGGAGUGUCCACCAUAUAUGAGAUAAGAAGAAUGCCGACUGUUGUUGUGGGGGUCGCUUCUCAACUUUUUAGUCCGUGAUACUUCGAGAGAGAUUGUCCGUUUUGUACACGAAGUGCAUCCAGUUUUUGUCGUAACCUCUCAAGUUUUUAGCACAUGUUAUGUGGGUGAAAUGAUGAUACCAUGCCAACUUUCAAUAUUUUUAGAGUUCAUUUGUUGUGCUUUUCAAUUUCAGGGUCAACAAGCUCAAAAACAAAUAAGUAAAUGCACGAAAAAUACCAAAUGAAGUCAGAAAUUGUUGAAAAUUUGUGAUGUGCCUUUGAAUGGUGCAUUUUCAACACACAAAAAGUAUGGAGUUCAAAUAAGUUCAAAAAAAUGAAAUCCCUAUGUAACAGAUGAGUUCUUGUUCGAAACUCUCAUACUUCGAGAGAGAUUGUCCGUUUUGUACACGAAGUGCAUCCAGUUUUUGUCGUAACCCUCUCAAAUUUUUAGCACAUGCUAUGUGGGUGAAAUGAUGAUAACAUUCCAAUUUUGAACAUUUUCAGAGUUAAUUUGUAGUGUUUUUUAAUUUCAGCGUCAACUAGCUAAAAAAAUAAGUAAAUGCACGAAAAGUAGCAAAUGAAGUCAGAAAUUAUUGAGAAUUUAUGAUGUGUCUUUGAAUGGUGUAUUUUCAACACACAAAAAGUAUGGAGUGCAAAUAAGUUCAAAAAAAUAAAUNNNNNNNNNNNNNNNNNNNNNNNNNNNNNNNNNNNNNNNNNNNNNNNNNNNNNNNNNNNNNNNNNNNNNNNNNNNNNNNNNNNNNNNNNNNNNNNNNNNNUUCUUAAAGAUCCAUUUGUUCUGAAUAGCCUUGCGGCCCUCAGGUAGUAUCUCCAAAGUCCACACUUUGUUCUCAUACAUGGAUCCUAUCUCGGAUUUCAUGGCUUCUAGCCAUUUGUUGGAAUCUGGGCCCACCAUUGCUUCUUCAUAAUUUGCAGGUUCAUUGUUGUCUAACAACAUGAUUGAUAAGACGGGAUUACCGUACCACUCUGGAGCAGCGCGUGAUCUCGUCGACCUGCGUGGUUCAACAGAAACUUGAACUGGAGUUUCAUGAUCAUCAUCAUUAACUUCCUCCUCAACCGGCGUCGCAAUGACAGAGGUUUCCCCUUGCCCUGCGCCACCAUCCAGAGGGAUGAGAGGUUCGACAACCUCGUCAAGUUCUAUCUUCCUCCCACUCAAUUCUCUCGAGAGAAACUCCUUCUCGAGAAAAGUUCCGUUCUUAGCAAGAAACACUUUGCCCUCGGAUUUGAGAUAGAAGGUGUACCCAACUGUCUCUUUUGGGUAACCUAUGAAGACGCAUUUUUCCGCUUUGGGUUCCAGCUUUUCAGGCUGAAGCUUUUUGACAUAAGCAUCACAUCCCCAAACUUUAAGAAACGACAAUUUUGGUCUUUUGCCAUACCACAGUUCGUAUGGUGUCGUCUCAACGGAUUUUGAUGGUGCCCUAUUUAAAGUGAAUGCAGCUGUUUCUAAUGCAUAGCCCCAAAAUGAUAACGGCAAUUCAGUAAGAGAUAUCAUAGAUCGCACCAUCUCUAACAAAGUACGAUUACGACGUCCGGACACACCAUUACGCUGUGGUGUUCCAGGCGGUGUUAACUGCGAAACAAUUCCACAUUGUCUUAAGUGAGUACCAAACUCUAAACUUAGAUAUUCACCCCCACGAUCAGACCGUAGGAACUUGAUCUUCUUGUUACGAUGAUUCUCCACUUCACUCUGAAAUUGUUUGAACUUUUCAAAUGUUUCAGACUUGUGCUUCAUCAAGUAGACAUAACCAUAUCUACUUAAAUCGUCAGUGAAGGUGAGAAAAUAACGAUAUCCGCCGCGUGCCUCCACGCUCAUCGGACCACAUACAUCGGUAUGUAUGAUUUCCAACAAGUCACUUGCACGCUCCAUUGUUCCGGAGAACGGAGUUUUAGUCAUCUUGCCCAUGAGGCAUGGUUCGCACGUGUCAAGUGAAUCAAAGUCAAGUGACUCCAAAAGUCCAUCGGCAUGGAGUUUCUUCAUGCGCUUUACACCAAUAUGACCUAAGCGGCAGUGCCACAAAAAUAUGGCGCUAUCAUUGUUUACUCUAACUCUUUUGGUCUCAGUGUUAUGUAUAUGCGUAUUGCUAUCGAGAUUCAAUAUGAACAAUCCUCUCACAUUUGGUGCAUGACCAUAAAAGAUGUUACUCAUAGAAAUAGAACAACCAUUAUUCUCAGACUUAAAAGAGUAACCGUCUCGCAAUAAACAAGAUCCAGAUAUAAUGUUCAUGCUCAACGCAGGCACUAAACAACAAUGAUUUAAGUUCAUCACUAAUCCCGAUGGUAGUUGAAGUGACACGGUGCCGACGGCGAUUGCAUCAACCUUGGAACCGUUUCCUACGCGCAUCGUCACUUCGUCUUUCGCCAGCCUUCGUCUAUUCCGCAGUUCUUGCUUCGAGUUGCAAAUGUGAGCAACAGAACCGGUAUCGAAUACCCAGGCACUACUACGAGAGCUGGUUAAGUACACAUCAAUAACAUGUAUAUCAAAUAUACCUGAUUUUUCAUUGCCCGCCUUCUUAUCUGCCAGAUACUUGGGGCAAUUGCGCUUCCAGUGACCCAUACCCUUGCAAUAGAAGCACUCUGUUUCAGGCUUAGGUCCAGCUUUGGGUUUCUUCGGUGGAUUGGCAACAGGCUUGCCGCUCUUCUUUGAAUUGCCCUUCUUGCCUUUGCCGUUUCUCCUGAAACUAGUGGUCUUGCUGACCAUCAACACUUGAUGCUCUUUACGGAGUUCAGACUCUGCGACUUUCAGCAUCGCAAACAACUCGCCGGGAGACUUGUUCAUCCCUUGCAUGUUGUAGUUCAACACAAAGCCUUUACAGCUUGGCGGCAGUGAUUGGAGGAUUCUGUCAGUGAUAGCUUCUUGCGGGAGAUCAAUCCCCAGUUCAGCUAGACGGUUUGAGUACCCAGACAUUUUGAGCACAUGUUCACUGACAGAUGAGUUUUCCUCCAUCUUGCAGGCAUAGAAUUUAUCGGAGGUAUCAUACCUCUCGAUCCGGGCGUUCUUCUGAAAGAUAAACUUCAACUCCUGGAACAUCUCAAAUGCUCCAUGACGCUCAAAGCGACGUUGAAGUCCCGGUUCUAAGCCAUACAAGACUGCACAUUGAACUAUUGAGUAGUCCUCCUUACGUGCUAACCAAGCGUUCUUAACAUCCUGAUCAGCCGUAGCGGGUGGUUCAUCUCCUAGCGCAGCAUUAAGGACAUAAUCCUUCUUUCCAGCUUGUAAGAUUAGCUUAAGAUUAUGAGCCCAGUCUACAAAGUUGCUUCCAUCAUCUUUCAACUUAGCUUUCUAUAGGAACGUAUUAAAAUUCAGGAUGACACUUGCGUGAGCCAUGAUCUACAACACAAAUAUAUUCAAAGUGGACUUAGACUAUGUUCAAGAUAAUUAGAGUUCAACUUAAUCAAAUUAUAUGCUAAACUCCCACUCAAAAAGUACAUCUCUCUAGUCAUUUGAGUGGUUCAUGAUCCACUUACACUAUCCCAAGUCCGAUCAUCACGUGAGUUGAGAAUAGUUUCAGUGGUAAGCAUCCCUAUGCUAAUCAUAUCGACUAUAUGAUUCAUGAUCGACCUUUCGGUCUCAUGUGUUCCGAGGCCAUGUCUGCACAUGCUAGGCUCGUCAAGCUUAACCCGAGUGUUCCGCGUGCGCAACUGUUUUGCACCCGUUGUAUGUGAACGUUGAGUCUAUCACACCCGAUCAUCACGUGGUGUCUCGAAACGACGAACUGUAGCAACGGUGCACAGUCGGGGAGAACACAAUUUCGUCUUGAAAUUUUAGUGAGAGAUCACCUCAUAAUGCUACCGUCGUUCUAAGCAAAACAAGGUGCAUAAAAGGAUUAACAUCACAUGCAAUUCAUAAGUGACAUGAUAUGGCCAUCAUCACGUGCUUCUUGAUCUCCAUCACCAAAGCACCGGCACGAUCUUCUUGUCACCGGCGCCACACCAUCAUCAUCCAUCAACGUGUUGCCAUCGGGGUUGUAGUGCUACUUAUGCUAUUACUACUAAAGCUACAUCCUAGCAAAAUAGUAAACGCAUCUGCAAGCACAAAACGUUAGUAUAAAGACAACCCUAUGGCUCCUGCCGAUUGUCGUACCAUCGACAUGCAAGUCGAUAUUUCUAUUACAACAUGAUCAUCUCAUACAUCCAAUAUAUCACAUCACAUUGUUGGCCAUAUCACAUCACAAUCAUACCCUGCAAAAACAAGUUAGACGUCCUCUAAUUUUGUUGUUGCAUGUUUUACGUGGUGACCAAGGGUAUCUAGUAGGAUCGCAUCUUACUUACGCAAACACCACAACGGAGAUAUAUGAGUUGCUAUUUAACCUCAUCCAAGGACCUCCUCGGUCAAAUCCGAUUCAACUAAAGUUGGAGAAACCGUCACUUGCCAGUCAUCUUUGAGCAAAGGGGGUUACUCGUAACGAUGAAACCAGUCUCUCGUAAGCGUACGAGUAAUGUCGGUCCAAGCCGCUUCAAUCCAACAAUACCGCGGAAUCAAGAAAAGACUAAGGAGGGCAGCAAAACGCACAUCACCGCCCACAAAACCUUUUGUGUUCUACUCGAGAAGACAUCUACGCAUGAACCUAGCUCAUGAUGCCACUCUUGGGGAACGUCGCAUGGGAAACAAAAAUUUUCCUACGCGCACGAAGACCUAUCAUGGUGAUGUCCAUCUACGAGAGGGGAUGAGUGAUCUACGUACCCUUGUAGAUCGUACAGCAGAAGCGUUAGAGAACGCGAUUGAUGUAGUGGAACGUCCUCACGUCCCUCGAUCCGCCCCGCGAACAAUCCCGCGAUCAGUCCCACGAUCUAGUACCGAACGGACGGCACCUCCGCGUUCAGCACACGUACAGCUCGACGAUGAUCUCGGCCUUCUUGAUCCAGCAAGAGAGACGGAGAGGUAGAAGAGUUCUCGGCAGCGUGACGGCACUCCGGAGGUUGGUGAUGAUCUUGUCUCAGCAGGGCUCCGCCCGAGCUCCACAGAAACACGAUCUAGAGGAAAAACUAUGGAGGUAUGUGGUCGGGCAGCCGUGAGAAAGUCGUCUCAAAUCUGCCCUAAAAGCCCCAUAUAUAUAGGAGGAGGGAGGGGGACCUUGCCUUGGGGUCCAAGGGAUCCCCAAGGGGUCGGCCGAGCCAGGGGGGAGGACUCUCCCCCCCAAACCGAGUCCUACUUGGUUUGGUGGGAGGGAGUCCUUCCCCCUUCCCACCUCUCCCUUUUUUUUUUCCUUUCCUUUGAUAUUUUCUCUCUUGGCGCAUAGGGGAUUGGUGGGCUGUCCCACCAGCCCACUAAGGGCUGGUGUGACCCCCCCAAAUACCUAUGGGCUUCCCCGGAGUGGGUUGCCCCCCUCCGGUGAACUCCCGGAACCCAUUCGUCAUUCCCGGUACAUUCCCGGUAACUCCGAAAACCUUCCGGUAAUCAAAUGAGGUCAUCCUAUAUAUCAAUCUUCAUUUCCGGACCAUUCCGGAAACCCUCGUGACGUCUGUGAUCUCAUCCGGGACUCCGAACAACAUUUGGUAACCAACCAUAUAACUCAAAUACGCAUAAAACAACGUCGAACCUUAAGUGUGCAGACCCUGCGGGUUCGAGAACUAUGUAGACAUGACCCGAGAGACUCCUCGGUCAAUAUCCAAUAGCGGGACCUGGAUGCCCAUAUUGGAUCCUACAUAUUAUACGAAGAUCUUAUCGUUUGAACCUCAGUGCCAAGGAUUCGUAUAAUCCCGUAUGUCAUUCCCUUUGUCCUUCGGUAUGUUACUUGCCCGAGAUUCGAUCGUCAGUAUCCGCAUACCUAUUUCAAUCUCGUUUACCGGCAAGUCUCUUUACUCGUUCCGUAAUACAAGAUCCCGCAACUUACACUAAGUUACAUUGCUUGCAAGGCUUGUGUGUGAUGUUGUAUUACCGAGUGGGCCCCGAGAUACCUCUCCGUCACACGGAGUGACAAAUCCCAGUCUUGAUCCAUACUAACUCAACUAACACCUUCGGAGAUACCUGUAGAGCACCUUUAUAGUCACCCAGUUACGUUGCGACGUUUGAUACACACAAAGCAUUCCUCCGGUGUCAGUGAGUUAUAUGAGCUCAUGGUCAUAGGAAUAAAUACUUGACACGCAGAAAACAGUAGCAACAAAAUGACACGAUCAACAUGCUACGUCUAUUAGUUUGGGUCUAGUCCAUCACGUGAUUCUCCCAAUGACGUGAUCCAGUUAUCAAGCAACAACACCUCGUUCAUAAUCAGAAGACACUGACUAUCAUUGAUCAACUGGCUAGCCAACUAGAGGCAUGCUAGGGAUGGUGUUUUGUCUAUGUAUCCACACAUGUAAAUGAGUCUUCAUUCAAUACAAUUAUAGCAUGGAUAAUAAACUAUUAUCUUGAUACAGGAAUUAUAAUAAUAACUAUACAUUUAUUAUUGCCUCUAGGGCAUAAUUCCAACAAAUUGGUAGUUUUCGAUAGGCAAGCCAACCAAGUUCGUUGUGCAUACUUCAAACAUUUGCUACCGGAGCAAAUUUGAGUCUCGAUAAUCCAAAAAUGUAUGUAAAAUAAAUAACAAAUAUGCAUGGUCUCCCUUAAAAGGACUUAGCACACAUUCAAAACAUUAUGAAAAAUUACAAAAAGAUAUGUAUGCAUGGUCUCUUCAAGAAGUCGUCAACAAAUGUCAUGCACAAACAAUGAACUGAAUCUAAACCACAUACAUAUAUAACUUUCUUCUCUUCUUGCUCUGCUUCAAUUCUUACAAGUCUCCUCUUUUUUCCAACUUUGGCAUACACCACUUCAUGUCAGGUGGGGGCAUCUAUAUAUGCUUACAUUGUCCGUGUGAAAGAGGUGGAUCAUUAGAUAAUAUGCAAAAUAAUCUACAAUCAGAACACAAAAAGCAAACGCUUGCCAAGAUUAUCAUUUCUAUGAAUGUUCUCCAAUCUAAUACAACUAUCAUUUCUCUGAAUGUUCUCCAAUCUAAUACGACUAUCAUUUCUCUGAAUGUUCUCCAAUCUAAUACGACACAGAGAAAAUACCAUAGAAUAGAAUGAUCAAUAUGCUUGUAACAAGAGUACCCGCUAUCCUUAAAUCAUACUUCUAAAGAUAGGAAAAUAACCUCAACCUCAAGCAUGAUGGUUUGCUUAGCAAAAGCUAGAUCAACCUUAAUGGUCAAUACUAAUCCCAGCAGUAUGAUGUUUCAACGAAUGGAUGGAGAUGCAGUUUCCCUCCUCGCUACUGGCCAAAUCCGAACAGCCUGCUGUUCUUGCAAAAAGGUCAGCCAAAACUUGAAUUGCUGAAACUGAGAUGGAAAGCUGCAUAUUUAGUUAUUCGAAGAACAUAUGAACCUAACUUAGCUUUAAAUUUCUCACAAAUUAAGCAUACCUUGUUCUACAGGCUACAUACUAAUAUACAGAAGCUAAAGACAUUACGCGAGCCUUUGAGUCGACUGACCAAAAAAGCGGAGGCGUGUCGCUGCAGCCAGGUAGUUCCACCAGCUCGACGUCCUCAUCAUUGUUGUCCUCCUAUUCGUAGAAUUCUUCAAUGAAUAUGGCAUCAUCGGUGUCGCUGCUAGGAGGGUGGUGGUACCAAAGGAAAGGAGCGGAGGCGUGUCGCUGCAGCCAGGUAGUUCCACUGCUUGCUUUGCAUGAAAAAAACAAAUGGGAACAUAUUCAGAUUUCAGAAUACAAUAAGUUUGAGGCUCGUAUUAAAAAGUAACUGGUAUGCCCUUCGUUUGCUCUUGUUGGAGAACGUUUCAAGGGAUUUAUGAAGAACUUUAUCGUUUCCAAAAAAAUUGUGGUUAUUUUGGAAAGCAAAAAAUCAAAUUACCGUUGAAAAGAAUACAAAUAUAUUACAUGUUUGCACUUAGUUUAUCCAUGGAUCAGAUUAAAACUCUAGUAAAAAUAACAACACACAUUCAUCUAUGAACAGAUUAAGAGAAUUAAAACAAGAGAGAGAAGAAGCCAUCUAGCUACUAACUACGGACCCGUAGGUCUGAAGUGAACUACUCACGAGUCAUUGGAGGGGCGAUGAUGAUGAUGAAGAAGCCCUCCAACUCCAAAGUCCCCUUCCGGCAGGGCACCGGGAAGGGUCUCGAGAUGAGAUCUCGUGGAAACGGAAGCUUGCGGCGGCGGAAAAGUAUUUUCGUGGAUCCCUUGAUUUUUUUUUUGAUUUUUAGGGAAUAUAUAGGCGCAAGGUCUAGCUCAGGGGGCGCCAGCGAGGCCACAAGCCUGCCCACCGCCGCCCCCCUGGUGGCGGAGUGGGGGCUUGUGGGCUCCCUGUAGCCCUCCUGGCUUGGCCCACAAGCCCCCUGAUCUUCUUUCGUUCGGGAAAAAAUAAUUUCGGGGAUUUUAUUCCGUUUGGACUCCGUUCCAAAAUCAGAUCUGAAAAGAGCCAAAAAGACAGAAAAAACAGGAACUAGCACUUGGCAAUGAAUUAAUAAGUUAGUCCCAAAAAGAUAUAAAAGGUACAUAAAACAUCCAAAGAUGACAAGAUAAAAGCAUGAAACCAUCAAAAAUUAUAGAUACGUUUGAGACGUAUCAGCUCCCAACAACACCACGAAGCUUCACCAUAAUGGCAUAUGUCUUCGAGGUGACCACAAAUGCUCGGGGCAAUCUCCACAGCUUAAUUGGAGACCCCGAUGCUUGUCCGGAGCUUUACACCAUAAAGAUUGAGCUCCUAGGCACCACCAAGCUAUAGGGGUAUCAAGUACCCAAAGGUAAUAAGCUUCUCAACUUCUCACUUCCACGUAUCACCAUGGAGAACUCAAACCGAUGCACCAAAUGCAAUGGCAAGGGCACACGGAGUGUCCAAGUCCUUCUCUCCCAAAUCCCACCAAAGCAACUAAUGCUAGGGAGGAAAAUGAGAGGAAGAACUAAGAAGAACACGAAGAACUCCAAGAUCUAGACCCAAGGGGUUCCCCUCACUUAGAGGAGAAAGUGAUUGGUGGAAAUGUGGAUCUAGAUCUCCUCUCUCUUUUCCCUCAAGAACUAGCAAGAAUCAUUGGAGGGAUUGAGAGUUAGCAAGCUCGAAGAAGGUCAGCAAUGGGGAAAGAACACGAGUUGUAGAGAUAAGGUUCAAUGGGGAAGAAGACCCCCUUUUAUAGGUGGAGAAAAAUCCAACCGUCAUGCUUCACAGCCCGCACAUAGCGGUACUACCGCUCAUGGGAGCGGUACUACCGCUCGGUAGGUUCACCAACCAUGCUGAGGCCAAAAAGGAUGCGCAAAAACAGUCCGACGGAGCGGUACUACCGCUCCUAGAGCGGUAGUAAAAAAUUACUACCGCUCCGGGGGGUACUACCGCUCGUACUAGGAGCGGUACUACCGUUGGAUACUGAAACUGCUCUAACUUUUGCAUACGAACUCCGAAUCGAGAAAACUCAAGCUUGUUGAAUUCACAACGACAAGAGCUAUCCAACAGCUACAUAAAAUCUUAAGAACAUGCAGUUAGAAAAUGCCAAUGAUAUAGAGAAGUGAGACCUCUAUUAAUGAAGAACCGACAAAAACUUCCAACAUCGAAAACACCAUAGAAUAUGCAUAUGGACUUCGUUUUCGAUGAACUCGAGCUUGUCAUGAAGAUGACCAUAAGCUCUAAAACUCACAAAGAGAAACAUCAAACAAGAACCAAUAAAUAUGAUGCAAGGAUGCAAAUGGUUUGAGCUCUCAACGAACGAUACGAUCAAGCUACUCACUUGAGAGCCCACCUCGAUAGUACGACAAUCUAUCCUAAAAUAGAAAACCUAUCAAAGGCAAACCUAUACCUUGCACCUAGUACUCUUGAGAUAGAUGAUGAUGAUCUUGGCUUCCUCAAGAUGGACCACCUUUCUUGAUUGACUUGGUCUGACGAAGACUAGUUGAUUGCUCCCCCAUACUAACUAUGGGUGAGCCAUUCUUUAGCACAUCUUCACAAGUUCAUUGCCACCAUAAUGGAUGGCAAGCUUCAAGCAUGAUAUCUUCGUGAUGCUCCACUUGAACUUCCACGACGCAAUCUUGAUGAUGAUCACCACUUGAUGUCAUCCUUCAUAGGUUGAAUGAGAUCUUCCUCUUGACGCGAACCCAUGGAGACACACCUAACCCCACAUAGAACUCACACAAGGACCAUGGGUUAGUACACAAAAGCGUUAUGGACAAUGCUUACCAUACCAUGGGAUCACUUGAUCCCUCUCGGUACAUCUUGUAUGCUUUGUGUGUUGAUCAUCUUGAUUUACUCUUUGUUUGACGAUCUUGAUCAACCUUGUGUCUCUAUGACCAUUCUUUGGAUAAUACCUUGAAUACCAUCUUGGUCAUCUUAUAAACUCCUUGAACCCAACUGAUGGACUUCAAGAAGUGCCUAUGGACAAAUCCUAUGAAUAUAAGUUAAGGCAACCAUUAGUCCAUAGGAAUUGUCAUAAAUUACUAAAACCACAUAUGGAGAGAUAUGCUCUAAUAGGUGCCUUGCAUGUGUGUACGGGAACCUUCCAUGCACACACCAGCCAACGAAUAGCGCAUAUGCCGGAUAGUCAUGCGUCGAGUACAUGUACCACACAUGCAUUUUGAAGUUUUUUUGGUAGCGGCGUCGCAUGUCUUGAUCCCAUUAUCCCGGGCUUCUUGCAAUUCAUCCUUAAGCGGGUGCAUGUACACAUUCAUAUUCUUCCCGGGAUAGUUGGGCCCUGGAAUUAUCAACGUCAGGAAAAUGUUCUUUCUUUUCAUAAUCUCUCGGGGGGGGGGKAGAUUGAGUGGAAUGACAAAUACAGGCCAACAAUUGUAUUGUGCUGCUCUCAUACCAUACACAUUGAACCCAUCCGUGCUGAUGGAAACUCGAGGAUGCCUUGGAUCUGCCGAUUUAUCCUUAUGUAAUGCAUCAAAGUGCUUCCACGCAAAAGCAUAUGAAGUGUGUACCAACAUCUUGUUCCCAUCCGCAUCUAGUUCGAUUAUUUUGCCCAAUUUGUGCCAUGUCAUAUACUGGCCGUCUCUUCGACCAUGAAAAGACGUUGAAGUCUUGGUACGAUUGGCCGAUACCGAAGAACACUAAUGGGGAUUUUGGUCUGAAUCUUCUCACCCAUACCGUUGUCUACUACAAUAUACCUGGAAGAAUUGCAAAUGGGGCAAUAGUUCAAGGCCGCAUACUCAAGCCUAAAUAAGGCACAUCCAUUCUCACAUGCAUGUAUCUUAUCAUAGGGCAUCUUAAGUACACGAAGGAUUUUCUCUGACUGGUACAGGUUUGCAGGCAGUACAUGGCCUUUGGGUAGAAAGCGUCCAAAUAUCGUCAUCAUCGCGUCGUAGCAUUCUCUGCCUAGGUUGAACUGAGACUUCAUAUCCAUUACUUGCACGAUGGCAUCCAGCUGACAAAGCUCAGUGUGCUCAUGGAGAGGAUGUUUUGAAGACUCCAACAUUUCAUAGAAGGCCUUUGCAGAUUCCUCCAUCUCAUCGUCCGAAUCCUGAGCAUCAUCAAAGUCUUGCACCAUGUCUUCGAUCCCGGUACCAUGCUCGUCGGUGCGACGACGAAUCACCUCAGCUCUGGCAUGUUGGUCAGACUCACCAUGAAAAGUCCACACUGUAUAAUUAGGCGUAAAAACCCACUUCUGCAGGUGUUUACCCAUUUCAAGCUCUGUCUGCCUUUUCCAGUUGUCGCAGUUGGGACAGGGGCACCAUGUUUUUUGCUUGCCAUUUGCAAAUGCGGCUCUCAAAAACCCCCUGGUUUUUGUUAACCAUUCAUUGGUCAUGUCUUUCUGACUAGGGUAACCAGUGUACAUCCAAGCACGAUCACUUAUCUUGCCUAGCUACAUAUGGGCACACAAGAAAUAUAUAUAUAAUUCAUCAUCUAUAUUCAUUCGCUAAUCAAGUUUGUCAGUUUUAUUACGUCCAUGCAACCUACACGCUAAUAGGUAAAGAUAGGUCCUAAUCACACCCGAGUAUGUGUAGAUUGGGUUCGUUUUCCCAUGCUCUGCUCCAGAUCUGACGCAGAACUUUGACAACACCUUCCCUCUGUUCUCCUCAUACACGUCUCGGCAAUAAGCAGAGAGGAUGUGUACCUAAAGAACAAAGGGGAGGCACUGACGAAAUUCCGCAUCGGAUCCGAAGCAGAGCAUACGGGAAAAACGAACCCAAUCUACACAUACUCGGGCUGUUCAUGGAUAACGUUGGACAAUUCGAAAGGAUGGCUGUUAUAAAUAUGCAAAGACAUGCAUAUUUAUAGAUGCCUCCCUUUCGAACGGGAGACGCAUACUGGUCACUGAUAUGUCCAAAACGUAUAUAUAAUUUUUGAUGGUUUCAUGCUACUUUUAUGCUUUUGAUAAUUGUUUUUAUAUUAAGUUUAUGAUUUAUUUGGACUAUCCUACUAAUAAUUGCAAAAGUGCACAAUGUUCUUGUUUUACAGUUUGAUGUGUAGGAACUAUCAAAAAUAGAAGAGGAAACCUUGUUGGAGUGGGACUCUGACUUUCCUGAAAUAUGUCCCCCCUACAAAUUUUAGAGAUCGUCUGUUUACGCCUCGAAGAUGAUGUCAAAUGGAAAAACAAUAGAUGCGAAAGUUGUGGGGAAUUUUAUGUUGAUAAUUCUAGACAUAAAAUUCGGUCCAUUUGGAGUUCUUACACUCCCGGAAAUCUUGUUUUACUAGAGGACAAAUAUUUGAUUACAGGAUUACGAGAAUCGGUGACGUGAUUGAGUCCAACUCUUAUCAUAUUAGAUGGAUUCGGCCAAGCCACGACUUGAGGACCUCAUUAGGGCUGAGAGGGAUUCCUAGGAAGGUUCUAGAGGUGCCCAAGAGCCCUUGGAUCAAAGGGCGUCCAUCAGAGCGCCAAGGAUGAUCGUCCUGACUCAUAUAAGGAGAGGAAAAACCUGAUUACUGGAGGGCCACCAAGAGCUACAAGAUUUCCUCCUCCCAGGCAGCCGCCUUGGGGUGUAGAGCCACCUCCAUACCAGCACCAUCUCCAAGGAAGAAGGGGGGCCAAGGGCCGCCGCCCCCAAGGGUCGUGGCCGCCGCCGUCAGCCGUCGUCUCCUCUCCGGGCCGCACCUCUCCAUCAACCUCUUGCUCACCAUGGCCAUGUGUGAGUAGUCUCCCUUGGGGCCGCGGUCUUCUACGUCUAGCUAUGUGGUCAUCUCUCUCUCCCAUGAUCUGAUCUUGAUUGUGAUCAUAGGCUAUGUUAAUCUAGGGUGAUCCCAUGAUGUUUCCCCUUUUUCUAUGUAUUGGAUUGAUGUACUUACUUGAUCUUAUCUAGUAUAAUCUCCGAGACCAUGCUGACAGCGGUCUAUUGGACAUGGAUUAGAAGAAUAUUGUCAUGAGUGAUUUCCUCUUUUGUGCAUUGAUUGAAGAUUGAGAGUCUCUUGGUGCUUGUCUUUGACUAUCAUUGAGAUAUGCUGUGCUGAUUGUGACACUCUCUUUGGAUGGCCGCGGUGACAUUGGGAAAUCCAUAGAUGAGAACUACGAACUCUGAGGUGUGCUUUUGUAGUCCUACAUAAUUCUCGUCCUCUCUUGAUCACAAAGAAAUGACCUCCAAGUACGUCUCCAUUGCAUGUUUUUGUGGAAAUAUCAUGUGAUUAGAUUAUGUUAAUGUUGUUGGGAGUUGCUGUUGGAAAUAUGCCCUAGAGGCAAUAAUAAAUUAGUUAUUAUUAUAUUUCUUUGUUCAUGAUAAUCGUUUAUUAUCCAUGCUAUAAUUGUAUUGAUUGGAAACACAGUGCAGGUGUGGAUACAUAGACAAAACACUGUCCCUAGUAAGCCUCUAGUUGACUAGCUCGUUGAUCAAAGAUGGUCAAGGUUUCCUGACCAUAGGCAAGUGUUGUCACUUGAUAACGGGACCACAUCAUUAGGAGAAUCAUGUGAUGGACUAGACCCAAACUAAUAGACGUAGCAUGUUGAUCGUGUCAUUUUGUUGCUACUGUUUUCUGCGUGUCAAGUAUUUGUUCCUAUGACCAUGAGAUCAUAUAACUCACUGACACCGGAGGAAUGCUUUGUGUGUAUCAAACGUCGCAACGUAACUGGGUGACUAUAAAGAUGCUCUACAGGUAUCUCCGAAGGUGUUCGUUGAGUUAGUAUGGAUCGAGACUGGGAUUUGUCACUCCGUGUGACGGAGAGGUAUCUCGGGGCCCACUCGGUAAUACAACAUCGCACACAAGCCUUGCAAGCAAUGUGACUUAGUGUAAGUUGCGGGAUCUUGUAUUACGGAACGAGUAAAGAGACUUGCCGGCAAACGAAGAUGAAAUAGGUAUGCGGAUACUGACGAUCGAAUCUCGGGCAAGUAACAUACCGAAGGACAAAGGGAAUGACAUACGGGAUUAUAUGAAUCCUUGGCACUGAGGUUCAAACGAUAAGAUCUUUGUAGAAUAUGUGGGAUCCAAUAUGGGCAUCCAGGUCCCGCUAUUGGAUAUUGACCGAGGAGUCACUCGGGUCAUGUCUACAUAGUUCUCGAACCCGCAGGGUCUGCACACUUAAGGUUCGACGUUGUUUUAUGCGUAUUUGAGUUAUAUGGUUGGUUACCGAAUGUUGUUCGGAGUCCCGAAUGAGAUCACGGCCGUCACGAGGGUUUCCGAAAUGGUCCGGAAACGAAGAUUGAUAUAUAGGAUGACCUCAUUUGAUUACCGAAAGGUUUUCGGAGUUACCGGGAAUGUACCGGGAAUGACGAAUGGGUUCCGGGUGUUCACCGGGGGGGGGGGGCAACCCACUCCGGGGAAUCCCAUAGGCCUUGGGGGUGGCGCACCAGCCCUUAGUGGGCUGGUGGGACAGCCCAAGAAGGCCCUAUGCGCCAUAGGAAGAAAAUCAAAGAAAAAAAAAAGAGGAGGUGGGAAAAGGGGGAAGGACUCCUCCUUCCAAACCUAGUUGGACUCGGUUUGGAAGGGGAGGGUUGCCCCCCUUGGCUCGGCCGACCCCUUGAGGGUCCCUUGGACCCCAAGGCAAGGCCCCCCUCCCUCCUCCUAUAUAUAUGGGGCUUUUAGGGCAGAUUUGAGACGACUUUCUCACGGCUGCCCGACCACAUACCUCCAUAGUUUUUCCUCUAGAUCGCGUUUCUACGGAGCUCGGGCGGAGCCCUACUGAGACGAGAUCAUCACCAACCUCCGGAGCUCCGUCACGCUGCCGGAGAACUCUUCUACCUCUCCGUCUCUCUUGCUGGAUCAAGAAGGCCGAGAUCAUCGUCGAGCUGUACGUGUGCUGAACGCGGAGGUGCCGUCCGUUCGGUACUAGAUCGUGGGACUGAUCGCGGGAUUGUUCGCGGGGCGGAUCGAGGGACGUGAGGACGUUCCACUACAUCAACCGCGUUCUCUAACGCUUCUGCUAUACGAUCUACAAGGGUACGUAGAUCACUCAUCCCCUCUCGUAGAUGGACAUCACCAUGAUAGGUCUUCGUGCGCGUAGGAAAUUUUUUGUUUCCCAUGCGACGUUCCCCAGUAGUGGCAUCAUGAGCUAGGUUCAUGCGUAGAUGUCUUCUCGAGUAGAACACAAAAGGUUUUGUGGGCGGUGAUGUGCGUUUUGCUGCCCUCCUUAGUCUUUUCUUGAUUCCGCGGUAUUGUUGGAUUGAAGCGGCUUGGACCGACAUUACUCGUACGCUUACGAGAGACUGGUUUCAUCGUUACGAGUAACCCCCUUUGCUCAAAGAUGACUCGCAAGUGACGGUUUCUCCAACUUUAGUUGAAUCGGAUUUGACCGAGGAGGUCCUUGGAUGAGGUUAAAUAGCAACUCAUAUAUCUCCGUUGUGGUGUUUGCGUAAGUAAGAUGCGAUCCUACUAGAUACCCUUGGUCACCACGUAAAAUAUGCAACAACAAAAUUAGAGGACGUCUAACUUGUUUUUGCAGGGUAUGAUUGUGAUGUGAUAUGGCCAACGAUGUGAUGUGAUAUAUUGGAUGUAUGAGAUGAUCAUGUUGUAAUAGAAAUAUCGACUUGCACGUCGAUGGUACGGCAACCGGCAGGAGCCAUAGGGUUGUCUUUAUACUAACAUAUGUGCUUGCAGAUGCGUUUACUAUUUUGCUAGGAUGUAGCUUUAGUAGUAAUAGCAUUAGUAGCACGACAACCACGAUGGCAACACGUUGAUGGAUGAUCAUGGUUUGACGCCGGUGACAAGAAGAUCGUGCCGGUGCUUUGGUGAUGGAGAUCAAGAAGCACGUGAUGAUGGCCAUAUCAUGUCACUUAUGAAUUGCAUGUGAUGUUAAUCCUUUUAUGCACCUUAUUUUGCUUAGAACGACGGUAGCAUUAUGAGGUGAUCUCUCACUAAAAUUUCAAGACGAAAUUGUGUUCUCCCCGACUGUGCACUAUUGCUACAGUUCGUCGUUUCGAGACACCACGUGAUGAUCGGGUGUGAUAGACUCAACGUUCACAUACAACGGGUGCAAAACAGUUGCGCAAGCGGAACACUCGGGUUAAGCUUGACGAGCCUAGCAUGUGCAGACAUGGCCUCGGAACACAUGAGACCGAAAGGUCGAUCAUGAAUCAUAUAGUUGAUAUGAUUAGCAUAGGGAUGCUUACCACUGAAACUAUACUCAACUCACGUGAUGAUCGGACUUGGGAUAGUGUAAGUGGAUCAUGAACCACUCAAAUGACUAGAGAGAUGUACUUUUUGAGUGGGAGUUUAGCAUAUAAUUUGAUUAAGUUGAACUCUAAUUAUCUUGAACAUAGUCUAAGUCCACUUUGAAUAUAUUUGUGUUGUAGAUCAUGGCUCACGCAAGUGUCAUCCUGAAUUUUAAUACGUUCCUAGAGAAAGCUAAGUUGAAAGAUGAUGCAAGCAACUUUGUAGACUGGGCUCGUAAUCUUAAGCUAAUCUUACAAGCUGGAAAGAAGGAUUAUGUCCUUAAUGUUGCUCUAGGAGAUGAACCACCCGCUACGGCUGAUCAGGAUGUUAAGAACGCUUGGUUAGCACGUAAGGAGGACUACUCAAUAGUUCAAUGUGCAGUCUUGUAUGGCUUAGAACCGGGACUUCAACGUCGCUUUGAGCGUCAUGAAGCAUUUGAGAUGUUCCAGGAGUUGAAGUUUAUCUUUCAGAAGAACGCCCGGAUCGAGAGGUAUGAGACCUCCGAUAAAUUCUAUGCUUGCAAGAUGGAGGAAAACUCGUCUGUCAGUGAACAUGUGCUCAAAAUGUCUGGGUACUCAAACCGUCUAGCUGAACUGGGGAUUGAACUCCCGCAAGAAGCUAUCACUGACAGAAUCCUUCAAUCACUGCCGCCAAGCUAUAAAGGCUUUGUGUUGAACUACAACAUGCAAGGGAUGAACAAGUCUCCCAGCGAGUUGUUUGCGAUGCUGAAAGUCGCAGAGUCUGAACUCCGUAAAGAGCAUCAAGUGUUGAUGGUGAGCAAGACCACUAGUUUCAAGAGAAACGACAAAGGCAAGAAGGGCAAUUCGAAGAAGAGCGGCAAGCCUGUUGCCAAUCCGCCGAAGAAACCCAAAGCUGGACCUAAGCCUGAAACAGAGUGCUUCUAUUGCAAGGGUAUGGGUCACUGGAAGCGCAAUUGCCCCAAGUAUCUGGCAGAUAAGAAGGCGGGCAAAGAAAAAUCAGGUAUAUUUGAUAUACAUGUUAUUGAUGUGUACUUAACCGGCUCUUGUAGUAGUGCCUGGGUAUUUGAUACCGGUUCUGUUGCUCACAUUUGCAACUCGAAGCAGGAACUGCGGAAUAGACGAAGGCUGGCGAAAGACGAAGUGACGAUGCGCGUAGGAAACGGUUCCAAGGUUGAUGCAAUCGCCGUCGGCACAGUGUCACUUCAACUACCAUCGGGAUUAAUGAUGAACUUAAAUCGUUGUUAUUUAGUGCCUGCGUUGAGCAUGAACAUUAUAUCUGGAUCUUGUUUAUUGCGAGACGGUUACUCUUUUAAGUUUGAGAAUAAUGGUUGUUCUAUUUCUAUGAGUAACAUCUUUUAUGGUCAUGCACCGAAUGUGAGAGGAUUGUUCAUAUUGAAUCUUGAUAGCGAUACGCAUAUACAUAACAUUGAGACCAAAAGAGUUAGAGUAAACAAUGAUAGCGCCAUAUUUUUGUGGCACUGCCGCUUGGGUCAUAUUGGUGUAAAACGCAUGAAGAAACUCCACGCUGAUGGACUUUUGGAGUCACUUGACUUUGAUUCACUUGACACGUGCGAACCAUGCCUCAUGGGCAAGAUGACUAAGACUCCGUUCUCCGGAACAAUGGAGCGUGCAAGUGACUUGUUGGAAAUCAUACAUACCGAUGUGUGUGGUCCAAUGAGCGUGGAGGCACGUGGCGGAUAUCGUUAUUUUCUCACCUUCACUGAUGAUUUAAGUAGAUAUGGUUAUGUCUACUUGAUGAAGCACAAGUCUGAAACAUUUGAAAAGUUCAAGCAAUUUCAGAGUGAAGUGGAAAAUCAUCGUAACAAGAAGAUCAAGUUCCUACGGUCUGAUCGUGGGGGUGAAUAUCUGAGUUUCGAGUUUGGUACUCACUUAAGACAAUGUGGAAUUGUUUCGCAGUUAACACCGCCUGGAACACCACAGCGUAAUGGUGUGUCCGAACGUCGUAACCGUACUUUGUUAGAGAUGGUGCGAUCUAUGAUGUCUCUUACGGAUUUGCCGUUAUCAUUUUGGGGUUAUGCAUUAGAAACAGCUGCAUUCACUUUAAAUAGGGCACCAUUGAAAUCCGUUGAGCCGACACCAUACGAACUGUGGUAUGGCAAAAGGCCAAAGUUGUCGUUUCUUAAAGUUUGGGGAUGGGAUGCUUAUGUCAAAAAGCUUCAGCCUGAAAAGCUGGAACCCAAAGCGGAAAAGUGCGUCUUCAUAGGUUACCCAAAAGAGAUAGUUGGCUACACCUUCUAUCUCAAAUCCGAGGGCAAAGUGUUUGUUGCUAAGAACGAAACUUUUCUCGAGAAGGAGUUUCUCUCGAGAGAAUUGAGUGGGAGGCAGAUAGAACUUGACGAGGUUGUCGAACCUCUCAUCCCUCUGGAUGGUGGCGCAGGGCAAGGGGAAACCUUUGUCGUUGCGACGCCGGUUGAGGAGGAAGUUAAUGAUGAUGAUCAUGAAACUCCAGUUCAAGUUUCUGUUGAACCACGCAGGUCGACGAGAUCACGCGCUGCUCCAGAGUGGUACGGUAAUCCCGUCUUAUCAAUCAUGUUGUUAGACAACAAUGAACCUGCAAAUUAUGAAGAAGCAAUGGUGGGCCCAGAUUCCAACAAAUGGCUAGAAGCCAUGAAAUCCGAGAUAGGAUCCAUGUAUGAGAACAAAGUGUGGACUUUGGAGAUACUACCUGAGGGCCGCAAGGCUAUUCAGAACAAAUGGAUCUUUAAGAAGAAGACGGACGCUGACGGUAAUGUGACCGUUUAUAAAGCUCGACUUGUGGCAAAGGGUUUUUCACAAGUUCCAGGAGUUGACUACGAUGAGACCUUCUCACCCGUAGCGAUGCUUAAGUCCGUCAGAAUCAUGUUAGCAAUAGCUGCAUUUUUCGAUUAUGAAAUCUGGCAGAUGGAUGUCAAAACGGCGUUCCUUAACGGUUUCCUUAAGGAAGAGUUGUAUAUGAUGCAACCCGAAGGUUUUGUCGAUCCUAAAAAUGCUGACAAGGUGUGCAAGCUCCAGCGAUCCAUUUAUGGACUGGUGCAAGCAUCUCGGAGUUGGAACAUACGCUUUGAUGAGUUGAUCAAAGCAUUUGGGUUUAUACAAGUGGUUGGAGAAUCUUGUAUUUACAAGAAAGUGAGUGGGAGCUCUGUGGCGUUUCUAAUAUUAUAUGUGGAUGACAUAUUACUGAUUGGAAACAACGUAGAGAUUUUGGAGAGCAUAAAAGGUUACUUGAAUAAAAGUUUCUCUAUGAAGGACCUAGGAGAAGCUGCUUACAUUCUAGGCAUUAAGAUCUAUAGGGAUAGAUCAAAACGCUUGAUAGGACUUUCACAAAGCACAUACCUUGAUAAAGUUUUGAAGAGGUUCAAAAUGGAACGGUCCAAAAAAGGGUUCUUGCCAGUGUUACAAGGUACGAGAUUGAGUAAGACUCAGUGCCCAGCAACUGAUGAAGAUAGAGAGCAUAUGCGCUCCGUCCCCUAUGCUUCGGCCAUAGGUUCUAUCAUGUAUGCGAUGCUGUGCACUAGACCGGAUGUUAGCCUGGCCAUAAGUAUGGCAGGUAGGUUCCAGAGUAAUCCAGGAGUGGAUCACUGGACAGCGGUCAAGAAUAUCCUAAAGUACCUGAAAAGGACUAAGGAGAUGUUUCUCGUGUAUGGAGGUGACGAAGAGCUCGCCGUAAAAGGUUACGUCGAUGCAAGCUUUGACACAGAUCCGGACGACUCUAAGUCGCAAACCGGAUACGUAUUUAUUCUUAAUGGGGGUGCAGUAAGCUGGUGCAGUUCCAAGCAAAGCGUCGUAGCAGAUUCUACAUGUGAAGCAGAGUACAUGGCUGCCUCGGAGGCGGCUAAGGAGGGUGUCUGGAUGAAGCAGUUCAUGACGGAUCUUGUAGUGGUGCCAAGUGCACUGGAUCCAAUAACCUUGUUCUGUGACAACACUGGUGCCAUUGCCUUAGCAAAGGAACCAAGGUUUCACAAGAAGACCAGACACAUCAAACGACGCUUCAACCUCAUCCGCGACUACGUCGAGGAGGAGGACGUAAAUAUAUGCAAAGUGCACACGGAUCUGAAUGUAGCAGACCCGCUGACUAAACCUCUUCCACGGCCAAAACAUGAUCGACACCAGAACUGUAUGGGUGUUAGAUUUAUUACAAUGUAAUUCACAUGGUGAUGUGAGGGCUAGAUUAUUGACUCUAGUGCAAGUGGGAGACUG
rnacentral:lncRNA from 1 species